rnacentral:lncRNA from 1 species
ACGUGACAGCGUGUUUUGGACUUGCUUGUGGUGCUGGCCGGGCCGGACGCGUUGAAUGCCGAGCCUGACGCGUCCAUGUGUGCGGUGCGCUCCAGCCCGGACAGGUGGUUGCGAGAGGGUACACCGUGUUAAAUCCGGGCCAUUUACACACGUAUAGUACUCGUGCUCCUCUAGAUCGUGUACCCCUUCCUUCUCUUCUUGUUCUUCUUCUUUUUACCUUCCUUUUCAACAUUUGUUUUCCCACUAAUAAUUUACUUGUGUCCAUUUUAAAAACAAGCCAAAAUGUACCGCGAGUUGGAUCGAUUACAUUACAUAUGUUACUAUAGCAAGCAUUAUUGUACUCUACCUGAAUAAUUUAUGAAGUGAAGUUACUACAGCCACAGGCAGAGAUGGAUGGAUGGGCAUGCAUGGGCACUGCACGCCCCGUGUUGUGACCUGACUCUUUUCUGAACCUGCUGCUGCAUUGCACUUGCGUGCGCCCGCUGCGCCGGCCGUUUGCUGCUGUUCGUUCGAGUCCGGCCGGCGUCCAUUUAUCGCGACCCUGCCGCUGGCAGCGUGCGCGUACUUCUGCCACGCCCCCAAGCAAGCUAGGCACGCAUAUACUGCAACCAUUUUACCCGUUACUAAAUGUGACGAGGCAUGGAGCGCCCCAGAGGUUAGGCCGGUGCCCGGCGGGCGCCAUGAAUGCCCCUGGCCUGGAAUACUUGUAGGUCGCACUCGAUAGCGCUGUGUCUGUGUGUGUGGGCUGCGGCAGCGCGCUAUUAUUGACGCCGGGUGUCGCACCUAGAAUGCGCAUGGGGUUGAUAUGAGCGCGCGCGGUGGUUACGAUGCUUCUGCUGCUUCCGCCGUGGCCCGUGGCUCUGGAGUUACCGCUUGCCAUUUGCCAAUGCCAGCCGGCCGCCGGAGGAUCUGAAUCUAUGCAUGCACGGCACUAUUGGUUUCAGACACACCGAACCAACCAUCCAAGCAGCCAAUCCCAUAUCGAACGUAGUCGGGUCCAGGCUCCUCUCAUCAAUCGUCCUCCCUAGGGCUGGGCAUUCGGUUUUUUUUGAAACUUCGGUUCGAUUUUUCGGUUUUAAAAAACUUCGGAUUUCUAGACAUUAGAAACCGAUCGGUUUUCUUGAAAAUGAAAAACCGAGAAGUUCGGUUUUAGUUUUUUACUUCGGUUUUUCGGUAAAAACCAAAUACCAAACUUAUACUCAAGACAACACAUACAAAAAGUUUAUAUGAUAGAUUACACAGAAUUUUAAAAAGUCAAAAUUAUAUAUGUACAAAUAUUUAGAGAUACAUCAUAUAUAAAUAAGUGAAUAACAAUUUAAUUGUUUCACACAUUUAGUUCACAUAAUCGAAUAGCCAAAUUUUAGAAUUGAUAAAGUUAGGUAAUUCGGUUUUUUGGUAUUUCGGUUUGGUAUACGGUGAAAAUCGAUUACGAUACCGAAAAUCGAAACCGAACCGAACUACCGAAAAAACCGAAAGUUUGGUUCGGUACGGUUCGGUUCGGUUUUCGGUUUCUGGUAAAAAUGUGCCCACCCCUACCCCAUUCCUUCUUCCUCCUUCAGUCCUCUUCAUUUCCUCCUCUAGUAUGGUGUUAGGGUUUGGGUCACCCGUCAAGAAUUAAUUGUAUACAUGCCACUAUACUUUUGCAAAAUUAGAUGAUUAGUUCAUUUUGAUAGCAUGGAGUGCCACGAAAAUAAACUAGUUUCUAAAUUUUUCAAAAUUGUAGUGGCAUAUUUCUAACCAACUCGUGGGUCAAUCCUCCCAAUUGUUGCACCAAAUCAUUGCACAAAUUCUCUCAGGGGUGUCUCGCGACAACAAAUCAUCCCCCAAAUCCUCCUUGCUCACGCCGGUCCGUCCCCUCCCCCGCGUGCAAGCAAGGUAUUGCAUCUCGUCACCUUUAUCGUCCUUCUCCUAUACAAACAAACAGAUGCACACAAUCGACAAACCUCCCCUAUCUUCCUCCUCUUCUUUUAUUUCUGUGGGUGUUGGCGAUUACCAAUUAGGGUUCUAGAUUAUAGAUGCACUCUAUCGUGGCUUUGUCUGGUGUUGGUCUUUGGCUUGGAUUUAAUGUCUUCAUUAGUGUUUUCUAUCCUAGAAAAGAAGUGGGGAUUUGGGGGCUAGCCUUAUGUCGGCGUCUCGAGACCGGGGGGUCCCUCAGGCCGACGAGUGAGUGUGCCGCGUGCCCCAGCCCAGAUGGGUCAAGCGCGUGGGCGAGCGUGAAGGGGGGAAGCGAGGUGGCUGGAGACGGGCGUGAGAGAGGUGGAAAUCCCGCGGCCUUCGUGUUCGUCCCGCGCCUAGGUCGGGUGCGCUUGCAGUAGGGGGUUACAAGCGUCCACGCGGGUGAGGGAAGCGAGCGGCCCCAAGAGAGCGCCUGCCCCGUCCUCGUCCCCGCGCGGCCAACCCCUCUAAGAAGGCCCUGGUCCUUCCUUUUAUAGGCGUAAGGAGAGGAUCCAGGUGUACAAAUGGGGUGUAGCAGAGUGCUACGUGUCUAGCGGGGGGAGAGCUAGCGCCCUAAGUACAUGCCAAUGUGGCAGCCGGAGAGAUCUUGGCACCCUGUUGGUGUGGUGUCGUGGCUGUCGGAGGAGCAACGGAGCCUGGCGGAGGGACAGCUGUCGGAGCGGUUGGGUCCUUGCUGACGUCCCCCUGCUUCCGUAAGGGAGCUGAGAGCCGCCGUCGUCACAGGGCUAGCGGGGCGCCAUCAUUGCCUAUCUGGCGGAGCUAGCCAGAUGGGACACCGGUCUCGUUCUCUGUGGCCCGAGUCAGCUCGGGGUAGAGUGAUGAUGGCGCUUCCUGUUGACGUGGCGGGCCUGUGCCCUAGGUCGGGCGACGUGGAGGCUCCUCUGAAGCCGGGGUUGAAUCUGUCUUCCAUGGCCGAGGCCGAGCCCGAGCUCCUGGGUCGGGCGAGGCGGAGGUUGUUCGGCAGAGGCCAGGGCGGAGUCCGAGCCCUGGGGUCGGGCGAAGCGGAGUUCGUCGUCUUCUGGGGCUGAGCCCGAGUCCGAGCCCUGGGUCGGGCGGAGCGGAGUUCGCCGUCUUCCGGGGCCUUAGCCCGAGUCCGAGCCCUAGGUCGGGCGGAGCGGAGUUCGCCGUCUUCCGGGGCCUUAGCCCGUGUCCGAGCCCUAGGUCGGGCGGAGCGGAGUUCGCCGUCUUCCGGGGCCUUAGCCCGAGUCCGAGCCCUGGGUCGGGCGGAGCGGAGUUCGCCGUCUUCCGGGGCUUUAGCCCGAGUCCGAGCCCUGGGUCGGGCGGAGCGGAGUUUCCUAUGGCGCCUUUGCGUUAAAUGCUCCUGCGACUCGGUCGGUUGGCGCGGCGAUUUAGUCAGGGCUGCUUCUUAGCGAAGGCAAGGCCUCGGGCGAGCCGGAGAUGUGUCCGCCGUUAAAAGGGGGGGGGGCCUCGGGCGAGACAGAAACCCCUUGGGGUCGGCUGCCCUUGCCCGAGGCUAGGCUCGGGCGAGGCGUGAUCGAGUCGCUCGUAUGGACUGAUCCCUGACUUAAUCGCACCCAUCAGGCCUCUGCAGCUUUAUGCUGAUGGGGGUUACCAGCUGAGAAUUAGGCGUCUUGAGGGUACCCCUAAUUAUGGUCCCCGACAGUAGCCCCCGAGCCUCGAAGGGAGUGUUAGCACUCGCUUGGAGGCUUUCGUCGCACUUUUUUGCAAGGGGACCAGCCUUUCUCGGUUGCAUUUUGUUCCGGUGGGUGCGCGCGAGCGCACCCGUCGGGUGUAGCCCCCGAGGCCUCGAAGGAGUGGUUUCACUCCUUCGAGGUCUUAAUGCCUUGCGUAAUGCUUCGGCUGGUCUGGUUGUUCCCUCAUGCGAGCAGGCCGUAGCCCGGGUGCACGGUCGGGGCCCAAGUUCUCGGGCUGGUAUGCUGACGCUGUCAACGGUUUGGCCGGAGCCGGGUUUGCGAGAGCAGCCCCCGAGCCUCUGCACAGAGCGAGAGGGCGAUCAGGGACAGACUCGGCUUUUUUACAUACGCCCCUACGUCGCCUUUCCGCAAGGAGGAGGGGGGGAGAGCGCCAUGUUACCCUCGAUGGGCACCGAACAUGGUGUCUCCGGUGAGCAACAAGCGGGUAAUCCGAGUGGACGUCCGUGCCCCGUUCGUUGGGGGUCGGCUAGGGGCCCAGAGGCACGCCCAAAAGUACCUGCGGGUGAUCUGCCGGACCCGGUCCCCUGGCGACGGGGUCUGAGGGCUAGAUGCAUCCCUCCGAUGGGAUUCCGUUACAAGAUCGCUCCCGCUGGUCUCGGAAAUGUCCUAGGGUACCUCGGGAGCGCAGCCCGAGCCUUGGUUAUGUAUCGAACGUACCCCUGGUCAUCCCUCGCUCGGCGUCUGAGGCGACUGUGAACCCUUCGGGGGCCAGCCUUCGAACCCCUGAUCAGUAAUGGGCGCGGAGCCCGAGUAGCCUGAGGCGGCCGUGGAACCCUUCGGGGGGCCGGCCUUCGAACCUCUGACCAGUAGUGGGUGUCGGGCCCACGCGAUCUGAGGCGGCUGUUGAACCCUUCGGGGGGCCAGCCUUCGAACCUCUGAUCAGUAAGGAGGCUCGGAGCCUGGUUCCUUCACGGGGAAGGAUCCCUUUCGGGGUAUCCCCCUUUCCCGGUCCCUGUCGCAAGAGAUAGAGAAAAGAGGAAAAAGGGAAAAGGAUACGAAACCGAACGACGCGGCGUACCUUUUUUGGCGCGGUUGUUUCGGCGAAGGCGAAGCGUCGCCCGCUGCUCCUGCCAGAAACGCCGCCUGUCCAGCCGCGGAGUUAAUGCGACGGGGCGAGUAGUUGGCGGGGCAGCCGUUGCGCGUGCGCGAGCCGUUCGAGGAACGGAUCACGGGCGCGUUGUCUUCACGCCGUGAGAGGGGGUUCUCUUGCUGCCCCCGGAUGGGACGUGAGCUUGGCUGACGACAUGACCGCUGCUCCCGCGCGCCUGCCACCGUCAUUACUGCCGGCCCACUUUUGGCCGCGUUGGCCGCCGCGUCAGGGUGGCGCUGCUGGGUCGCGCGCUGGGUCGCCUCGAGUCGCGGUAUCGGUUCCGCAAUCGAGGAGGCGCGGUGGCGGCGCAGGCGGUGCGGUUGCUUGCAUGCAGCAUCCGGCGCGCCAGUUGCGCGACGCGUGGGCCUGGGCCUCCAUGCUGGUGUGUCGGGAGUUGGAGAAGUGCGUCCACUUGGCGCGGUUGCAUGCCGCCUACAUGGCUGCCCGCCUCUUUCGCCCGUUGGUCUGGGCAAAAGUGGAGGGUCACUCGUAACCGCUGGGUGGUUGCGUGCACCACGCGCGACGGUUUGGCUUCUUCCGCUCGGAGCCGGUCUGCAUGACAUGCGGGAUCCAGCCCCCGCGCCGUAGGGGAGGGCUUUGGAGCGUGUUGGAGAAGACUCCGCCCGUGACGGUUGGGGGCGCCCGUAGGGAGAGUUGCCUUUAAAAGGAGGGUGACCCCUUUCGAGAGGCGACCGUGUCUUCUCGCUCCCUUAUGCGCCGCGCCUUUCCACCUUCCAAGCCCCCGGAUGGGGGGAACCCGCCGUCUUUUCGCCUCAUCGUUGGAGGAACGCAACUCCGUGGGAGUUGGUACCUUUCAGCCAUUGUUCGGCUUCAAGGAUUUUCAUCACUCAGCCCGGUUGCCCAUCUCCGCUGGUGGUCACCCAAGACGGUGACCUCCAGCUCCUGGAUGGGGAGAGGCAAACCGGGCUGUGAUCCCGGUCCCGCCCUCAGUGUUGAGGGUGUUCGCCAUCCUCGCUGGGGCGGGGUGCGAGGCGAGCCGGGGCUCCACCUCCUGCGCGGGUCGGUGGACCACCUCUUCUUCCAGCUCCUGGUGGUGGCACUCGCCUUUUGGCCCUACGGCGGAGACGUCCUCCAGCCAUGCCGGGGAAGGCGAACUGUUGCCGCCCAGCUAGGAUGCAACAUUCCGCCCUCUUCCUCGCAUUCGCGGCGAGGACGGCAGCGAGGAUCUGCCGGGAUGCUUGGGGGCGACCCGCGUUUUGCUGGUGAUUCGCCCAGAGCUUGUCGCUCCACGGGCUUCCCCGGCGUGGAGGUUGUCCAUACCCGCGGAGACGGAACCGGAGUUCCGUUUGUGACGGCACUUCGAAUGCCGGUGUUUUUUGUUCAUUACGGCUUUCGGGGCCUGAACAUGUAUGUAAUGUCGGCACGGAGCCGUGUUUUUUCCUCAUUUUUGAGCGCUAAGACUCGUCUGUUGAUUAUCUGAACCGCUUCACCAAGCAUGAGUCACCCCGUGUCAAGGUGACGAGUGAGGUAUCCGUAUCCCGGAGGCGUAGGAGUCCCUCGGCUCGGUCGGCCUUGCUGUCCGAGGCUCCUCUAGCUUAGUUAAAGAGACCCCUCGGCCGCUCUUUGACGAGCCGAGGCUGGGGGUAGCGAUAUCAGUAUGAACAGAGGCGGAGUCGACUCGAGAAUGAAACCUGGUUGGCCGGAGCCUAGCCGGGUUGUCCGUUAGCAGGACCGAUGCCGGAGUUGAUCAGCCGAGGCCUCGGACCGGGCUGGCGCCCUUGGAAGAUGGUUGGCCGAGGCCCCAGGGGUAACCGGCCGAGCCGCCUGCUCGGGCCGGAUUCCCGGAGAAGUCCCUGGCAGCGAUUGCCCGGGCGUGGUGAUGACGUCGUCCUUCGGAGCGGAGAUCCUCGGACCGCGUCGCCGUCCGAGGCUAGGUCGGGCCUCGCCGAAGGUGUCGUCGAUGUCGAGGGUGUUGCUGCCCCCUUCCAGCGUCAAGACCCGAGCCUGCAGGGUCAAAGUGUCUUGUAGCGUGUGCCUUCUGCAGCCGCCGAGGCCAGAACACAGACCCUCACUGCGUUGUAAAGCUGCGUCUCUUUUCCUCUUGUUUCGAGUAUCUGGACUUUUUGUCGGUAACAGGGAUGUUUGUGCGAGCGAGAGUUGCUUCUCGCGGAAGGUGAUAAGUGAGGUAUCCGUAUCCCGGAGGUGUGGGAGUCCCUCGGCUCGGUCGGCCUUGCCGCUUACGCGUACUUUCACCCGUCCAUGAGGCCCUGUCACCGACUCGGUCGAGAAGGCUCGAAGGAUCGCUUCGGCAGAAGGGCUUCCGAACGUAAAGACUUGUUCGAUCCGCGGAGCCACUUUAUCCGAACGCGAGUUACUUAUCGCAGAAGGUGAUGAGUGAGGUAUCCGUAUCCCGGAGGCGUAGGAGUCCCUCGGCUCGGUCAGCCUUGGCUGCUUACGUGUACUCCGUCGUUUCCAGGACCCACUUUUCGAAGUAGUCAAAAAGCACUAAAGAUAUUCUGGUAAAAGAGAUCUUUUUUCGAGGAAAAUUUUGACGCAGAGGGGGUUUCCCCCCUUUUAGCCCCCGAGGGAGGGUCGGGCUUUGUCGAGGCGAGGCCGACCCUUCCUUGUUGACUAAACUUUGCGUGGGUGCGAGGUAUAUGAACAACUUGGAAACAUCUUAAGGGUAGAAGCGACGUAGCUGUUGGAUGUUCCAAGCGUUGCCGUAGACCUCGCCUCGACUGUUGGCCAGCUUGUACGUUCCGGGCUUCAGAACUUUGGUGAUGACGAAUGGCCCUUCCCAGGGGGGCGUGAGCUUAUGCCUCCCUCGGGUGUCUUGCCGCAGCCGAAGCACCAGGUCGCCCACCUGGAGGUCUCGGGGUCGGACCCCUCGGGCGUGGUAGCGUCGUAGGGAUUGCUGAUACCGCGCCGGGUGUAGUAAGGCCCUGUCCCGAGCCUCUUCCAGCUGGUCCAGCGAGUCUUCUCGGCUAGCUUGGUUGCUUUGAUCGUCGUAGGCCCUCGUCCUCGGGGAGCCGUAUUCCAGGUCAGUGGGCAAGACGGCCUCGGCCCCGUAGACCAGGAAGAACGGCGUGAAACCCGUGGCUCGGCUCGGCGUUGUCCUCAGGCUCCAGACCACCGAGGGGAGUUCCUUCAUCCAUCGCUUGCCGAACUUGUUGAGGUCGUUGUAAAUCCGAGGCUUGAGCCCUUGUAGAAUCAUGCCGUUGGCACGCUCUACUUGCCCAUUCGACUUGGGAUGAGCCACGGCGGCCCAGUCCACCCGGAUGUGGUGAUCCUCGCAAAAAUCCAAGAAUUUUCUGCCGGUGAACUGGGUGCCGUUGUCGGUGAUGAUGGAGUUUGGGACCCUUAAGCGAUGGAUGAUGUUGGUGAAGAACGCCACCGCCUGCUCGGACCUGAUGCUGUUCAGGGGUCGGACCUCGAUCCACUUGGAGAAUUUGUCGAUGGCGACCAGCAGGUGCGUGUAGCCCCCGGGCGCCUUCUGCAAGGGACCGACGAGGUCCAGACCCCACACAGCAAAGGGCCAAGUGAUGGAUAUCGUCUGCAGAGCCUGAGCGGGCAGGUGGGUCUGCUUCGCAUAGAAUUGACACCCUUCGCAGGUGCGGACAAUUCUAGUAGCGUCGGCCACCGCCGUUGGCCAGUAGAAGCCUUGCCGGAAAGCAUUCCCGACGAGGGCUCGGGGCGCUGCGUGAUGGCCGCAAGCCCCCGAGUGUAUCUCUUGCAGGAGUUCCUGACCUUCAGCGAUGGAGAUGCAUCGCUGGAGGAUGCCCGAGGGACUGCGGUGGUAGAGCUCCUUCCCAUCGCCCAGCAGGACGAACGACUUGGCGCGCCGCGCUAUCCGCCGAGCCUCGGCUCGGUCGAGGGGCAGCUCUCCUUGGCAGAGAUAUUGCAGGUACGGGGUCUGCCAAUCUCGAUCAGGCGUGGCCCCGCUCCGCUCCUCCUCGAUGUGCAGCGCCUCGCCCUCGGCGGCCGAGGGUACCUUGGGCUGAACCGAGGACGCCUCGGGCUGGACCGAGGGUGCCUCGAGCUGGACCGAGGGUGCCUCGGGCUCGGGCGUGUCGUUGAUCUUGACGGAGGGCUGAUGCAGAUCCCGGGAGAAGACGUCCGGGGGAACCGUUGUUCGCCCCGAGGCUAUUUUUGCUAGCUCGUCCGCAGUCUCGUUGUAGCGCCGAGCGAUGUGGUUAAGCUCGAGCCCGUAGAACUUGUCUUCCAGGCGCCGAACCUCAUCGCAGUAGGCCUCCAUCUUCGGGUCGCGGCAGUGGGAGUUCUUCAUGACUUGGUCGAUGACGAGCUGCGAGUCGCCGCGAGCGUCGAGGCAUCGGACCCCUAGCUCGAUGGCGAUUCGCAAUCCGUUGAUCAGAGCUUUGUACUCAGCCACAUUGUUGGAUGCCGGGAAAUGGAGGCGUAGCACGUAGCGUAGGUGUUUCCCGAGGGGCGAGAUGAAGAGCAGGCCCGCGCCGGCUCCCGUCUUCAUCAGCGACCCAUCGAAAAACAUGGUCCAGAGCUCCGGUUGGAUCGGAGCCGUCGGCAGCUGGGUGUCGACCCAUUCGGCUACGAAGUCCGCCAAUACCUGGGACUUGAUGGCCUUCCGAGGCGCGAACGAGAUGGUCUCGCCCAUGAUUUCCACCGCCCACUUUGCGAUUCUGCCUGAGGCCUCUCGGCACUGGAUGAUCUCCCCCAGGGGGAAGGAUAACACCACAGUUACCGGGUGAGACUCGAAGUAGUGUCGCAACUUCCGCCUCGUCAGGAUCACUGCGUACAGCAGCUUCUGUACUUGUGAGUAGCGGAUCUUGGUUUCGGACAGUACCUCGCUGAUGAAGUAAACUGGCCUCUGAACGGGCAAUGCAUGCCCCUCUUCUUGCCUCUCGACCACAAUCACGGCAGUAACCACCUGAGUGGUCGCGGCGACGUAGACCAAGAGGGCUUCUCCAUCAACUGGGGGUACCAAGAUAGGCGCCUUGGUGAGGAACGCCUUCAGGUCCCCGAGAGCUUCCUCGGCCUCAGGGGUCCAAGUGAAGCACUCGGCCUUCCUUAACAGGCGGUACAGAGGCAGACCUCUUUCGCCGAGGCGUGAGAUGAACCGGCUCAGGGCCGCGAGACAUCCCAUGACCCUCUGUACACCUUUUAAGUCCUUGAUGGGCCCCAUGUUGGUGAUGGCUGCGAUCUUCUCCGGGUUGGCUUCGAUGCCCCGCUCGGAGACGAUGAACCCCAAGAGCAUGCCUCGGGGCACCCCGAAGACACACUUCUCGGGAUUGAGCUUGACGCCUUUUGCCUUGAGACACCGGAAUGCCACUUCAAGGUCGGAGAGGAGGUUGGAAGCCUUCCUUGUCUUGACUACGAUGUCAUCGACGUAGGCCUCGACUGUGCGACCGAUGUGUUCGCCAAACACAUGGUUCAUGCACCGCUGGUACGUCGCGCCCGCAUUCCUCAAACCAAACGGCAUGGUGACAUAGCAGUACAUGCCGAAGGGCGUGAUGAAAGAAGUCGCGAGCUGGUCGGACUCUUUCAUCCGAAUUUGGUGAUACCCUGAGUAGGCAUCGAGGAAGGACAGGGUUUCGCACCCAGCAGUGGAAUCCACGAUUUGAUCGAUGCGAGGUAGAGGGUAGGGAACCUUCGGACAUGCUUUGUUGAGACCAGUGUAGUCUACACACAUCCGCCAUUUCCCCCCUUUCUUUCUCACAAGCACAGGGUUGGCAAGCCAUUCGGGAUGGAAUACCUCUUUGAUGAACCCUGCUGCCAUUAGCUUGUGGAUCUCCUCGCCUAUCACUCUGCGCUUCUCCUCGUCGAAUCGGCGCAGAGGCUGCCUGACGGGUCGGGCUCCGGCCCGAAUAUCUAGCGAGUGCUCGGCGACAUCCCUCGGUAUGUCGGGCAUGUCCGAGGGACUCCACGCAAAGACGUCGGCGUUUGCGCGGAGAAAGUCGACGAGCACUGCUUCCUAUUUGGGGUCGAGCCCGGAACCGAUCCGGAUCUGCUUGGAGGUGUCGCCACUGGGGUCAAGAGGGACGGCCUUAACCGUCUCCGCUGGCUCGAAGUUGCCGGCAUGUCGCUUCACGUCCGGCACCUCUUUGGAGAGGUUCUCUAGGUCGGCGAUGAGGGCCUCGGACUCGGCGAGGGCCUCGGCGUACUCCACGCACUCCACGUCGCAUUCGAACGCGUGUUUGUACGUGGGGCCGACGGUGAUGACCCCGUUGGGGCCCGGCAUCUUGAGCUUCAGGUAGGUGUAGUUGGGGACGGCCAUGAACUUCGCGUAGCAUGGCCUCCCCAUCACCGCGUGGUAGGUUCCUCGGAACCCGACCACCUCGAACGUCAAAAUCUCCCUUCGGAAGUUGGAGGGCGUUCCGAAGCAGACGGGAAGGUCGAGCCGUCCGAGGGGCUGGACGCGCUUCCCAGGAAUGAUCCCGUGGAAGGGCGCAGCGCCUGCUCGGACGGAGGACAGAUCGACGCGCAGGAGCCUGAGGGUCUCGGCGUAGAUGAUGUUGAGGCAGCUGCCCCCAUCCAUCAGGACCUUGGUGAGCCUGACUUCGCCGACGAUGGGGUCGACGACGAGCGGGUAUUUCCCCGGGCUCGGCACGUGGUCGGGGUGGUCAGCUUGGUCGAAGGUGAUGGGCUUGUCGGACCAGUCUAGGUAGACUAGCGCCGCCACCUUCACCGAGCAGACCUCCCGGCGCUCUUGCUUGCGAUGCCGAGCCGAGGCAUUCGCCGCAUGCCCUCCGUAGAUCUUGAAGCAGUCGCGGACCUCAGGGAACUCUCCUGCUUGGUGAUCUUCCCUUUUGUCGUCGUCGCGGGCCCUGCCACCCUCUGCAGGUGGCCCGGCCUUGUGGAAGUGGUGCCGAAGCAUGACACACUCCUCGAGGGUGUGCUUGACGGGCCCCUGAUGGUAGGGGCACGGCUCCUUGAGCAUCUUGUCGAAGAGGUUAGCACCUCCGGGGGGCUUCCGAGGGUUCUUGUACUCGGCGGCGGCGACAAGGUCCGCGUCGGCGGCGUCGCGUUUCGCUUGCGACUUCUUCUUGCCUUUCUUCUUGGCGCCGAGCGGAGUAGACGCCUCGGGAGCCUCUUCCGACGGGCGGCCCUGGGGCUGCUUGUCCUUUCGGAAGAUGGCCUCGACCGCCUCCUGGCCAGAGGCGAACUUGGUGGCGAUGUACAUCAGCUCGCUCGCCCUGGUGGGGGUCUUGCGACCCAACUUGCUCACCAGGUCGCGGCAGGUGGUGCCGGCAAGGAACGCGCCGAUGACAUCUGAGUCGGUGAUGUUGGGCAGCUCGGUGCGCUGCUUCGAGAAUCGCCGGAUGUAGUCCCGAAGAGACUCUCCUGGCUGUUGCCGGCAGCUUCGGAGGUCCCAGGAAUUCCUGGGGCGCACGUACGUGCCCUGGAAUUUGCCGGCGAAGGCUUGGACCAAAUCAUCCCAGUUGGAGAUCUGCCUCGGAGGCAGGUGCUCCAACCAGGCGCGAGCAGUGUCGGAGAGGAACAGGGGGAGGUUGCGGAUGAUGAGGUUGUCGUCGUCCGUUCCACCCAGUUGGCAGGCCAGGCGAUAGUCUGCGAGCCACAGUUCCGGUCUCGUUUCCCCCGAGUACUUUGUGAUAGUAGUCGGGGGUUGGAACCGGGCCGGGAACGGCGCCCGUCGGAUGGCCCGACUGAAGGCCUGCGGACCGAGUGGUUCGGGCGAGGGACUUCGAUCCUCCCCGCUGUCGUAGCGUCCCCCACGCCUGGGGUGGUAGCCUCGGCGCACCCUUUCGUCGAGGUGAGCCCGACGGUCGCGACGAUGGUGCUCGUUGUCGAGGUGGCCCGGGGCCGCAGGCGCGGUGUUGCGCGUGCGCCCGGUGUAGACCGAGGCUUCCCGCAUGAAUCGGGAAGUCGCGGCAUGAGGUUCCGAGGGGUAUCCCUGCCUUCGGGAGGCAGAGCUCUCGGCCCGUCGGGCCGCAGCGCCUUCCAGAAGAUUCUUGAGCUCUCCCUGGAUUCGCCGACCCUCGGUGGUUGAUGGCUUCGGCAUCGCGCGGAGGAGCAUCGCCGCGGCUGCCAGGUUCUGACCGACCUCGCUGGAUGCGGGUGGCGGCCUGACCCUGACGUCGUUGGCGACGCGGUGCUGGAAACCCUGGGGCAGGUGACGUAUUUCUCCGGCCGGGGGCUGGCCCGCCCAUACCUGCCCGACGUCCCGGCGGAUCGACUCGAGCGCUCCUGCUCCCUCGUCGAGCCUGGCCUGCGCCCCGUGGACUUGCUUGAGCUGUGGGUCGUGACCCCCCACCGGAACGGGGACCACAGCUAGCUCCCGCGGGAUGUCGGCGCGAGGCACCGGCCUAGGGAGAUCACCGUCCUCUGGCAUGCCGAGAUGGUUGCCUUCGGAGGGAUCCCCUAGCUCGACGUGGAAACAUUCGUGGCUUGGGCCGCAGUCCUUGUCGUCAAGGCUGCGGCUACCGUCGGAACAGUCGGAGAGGCAGUAGUCACAUGCGGUCACAAAGUCCCGCAUGGCACUGGGGUUGCCAAAUCCAGAGAAAUCCCAGCAGAUGCUGGGAUCGUCAUCUUCCUCGGACCCAGAGGGUCCGUAGGUCGAGACGUCCGUCAACCGGUCCCAAGGCGACCGCAUACGAAACCCCAGAGGGGUUGCACUCGCCUCAACGAGAGCGCCCGCCAAAGCGAGGUCGCUAGGCGGGUUGAGGCCGAGUCGAAAUGACGUAGGAUGGGAAUCAGUCAGUACCUUUUGGUCGACGAGGAGCGACAUAGUCACGUCGGGGACUGAUUGCGCCGUCGUCUUAGGUACGAGGGCGACGCCCUGCAGGCCCUCCGCGAGCGCGCUGGCGUCGUCCACUUGCUCGGGAUUGGCGUGUCGCGGGAGGACGGCGCUCGCCUUCGUCUCAAACGCGAGGUCGACGCCCGACGCGCCCCCCGUUGGGGCGCUGGGGACGUCAAUUCGCUCGACAGCCGACGAAGCGUGGCCUCCCGCUUGGCCUUGGUUGCCCCGCCUCCUCCUCCGUUGGCGGGGGAGAGGACGGGGCGAGCUCGAAUGUCGUUCUUCCACCACGCGGGGAAGAUGUCGUCGAUUCCGCCGCCGGCGGGCGGGUUGUCGGCCGCCAUUGUCGUUGUCGCGCGGCGGUGGAAGGAGUAUCAUGUCGUAGCUGCCGUCGAGGGACAUGAACUCAAGACUCCCGAAACGGAGCACCGUCCCGGGUUGGAGAGGUUGUUGGAGACUGCCCAUCUGGAGCUUGACGGGAAACUGCUCGUCAACACGCAGCAGGCCCCUACCUGGCACGCCAACUGUCGGCGUCUCGAGACCGGGGGGUCCCUCAGGCCGACGAGUGAGUGUGCCGCGUGCCCCAGCCCAGAUGGGUCGAGCGCGUGGGCGAGCGCGAAGGGGGGAAGCGAGGUGGCCGGAGACGGGCGUGAGAGAGGUGAAAAUCCCGCGGCCUUCGUGUUCGUCCCGCGCCCAGGUCGGGUGCGCUUGCAGUAGGGGGUUACAAGCGUCCACGCGGGUGAGGGAAGCGAGCGGCCCCAAGAGAGCGCCUGCCCCGUCCUCGUCCACGCGCGGCCAACCCCUCUAAGAAGGCCCUGGUCCUUCCUUUUAUAGGCGUAAGGAGAGGAUCCAGGUGUACAAAUGGGGUGUAGCAGAGUGCUACGUGUCUAGCGGGGGGAGAGCUAGCGCCCUAAGUACAUGCCAAUGUGGCAGCCGGAGAGAUCUUGGCACCUUGUUGGUGUGGUGUCGUGGCUGUCGGAGGAGCAACGGAGCCUGGCGGUGGGACAGCUGUCGGAGCGGUUGGGUCCUUGCUGACGUCCCCCUGCUUCCGUAAGGGAGCUGAGAGCCGCCGUCGUCACAGGGCUAGCGGGGCGCCAUCAUUGCCUAUCUGGCGGAGCUAGCCAGAUGGGACACCGGUCUCGUUCUCUGUGGCCCGAGUCGGCUCGGGGUAGAGUGAUGAUGGCGCUUCCUGUUGACGUGGCGGGCCUGUGCCCUAGGUCGGGCGACGUGGAGGCUCCUCCGAAGCCGAGGUUGAAUCUGUCUUCCAUGGCCGAGGCCGAGCCCGAGCUCCUGGGUCGGGCGAGGCGGAGGUUGUUCGGCAGAGGCCAGGGCGGAGUCCGAGCCCUGGGGUCGGGCGAAGCGGAGUUCGUCGUCUUCUGGGGCUGAGCCCGAGUCCGAGCCCUGGGUCGGGCGGAGCGGAGUUCGCCGUCUUCCGGGGCCUUAGCCUGAGUCCGAGCCCUGGGUCGGGCAGAGCGGAGUUCGCCGUCUUCCGGGGCCUUAGCCCGAGUCCGAGCCCUGGGUCGGGCGGAGCGGAGUUCGCCGUCUUCCGGGGCCUUAGCCCGUGUCCGAGCCCUGGGUCGGGCGGAGCGGAGUUCGCCGUCUUCCGGGGCCUUAGCCCGAGUCCGAGCCCUAGGUCGGGCGGAGCGGAGUUCGCCGUCUUCCGGGGCUUUAGCCCGAGUCCGAGCCCUGGGUCGGGCGGAGCGGAGUUUCCUAUGGCGCCUUUGCGUUAAAUGCUCCUGCGACUCGGUCGGUUGGCGCGGCGAUUUAGUCAGGGCUGCUUCUUAGCGAAGGCAAGGCCUCGGGCGAGCCGGAGAUGUGUCCGCCGUUAAAAGGGGGGGCCUCAGGCGAGACGGAAACCCCUCGGGGUCGGCUGCCCUUGCCCGAGGCUAGGCUCGGGCGAGGCGUGAUCGAGUCGCUCGUAUGGACUGAUCCCUGACUUAAUCGCACCCAUCAGGCCUCUGCAGAUUUAUGCUGAUGGGGGUUACCAGCUGAGAAUUAGGCGUCUUGAGGGUACCCCUAAUUAUGGUCCCCGACACCUUACUUGACCCUCUGCAAUGAACCAUUCAACAAUUCCUAUUGGAUGGACCAAGUGACUUGCUGAUUUUAUUAGUUAUGGUGUCUGUUUGGAUUGUCACUCCGUCCCAUGAGAUUUUACAAGUCCUGUUGUGUGCAUUGUUUGAAAAUGGAGGGUUUUCAUCUUUUGGCUUCCAAUGCUAGUGCUUAGGUUAGCAAAAACAAUGUUGUCUUCUAGUUUGGUAGGUUUGGUGGCCUUUUGUCCAUGGGAAAUGCAAGUUCUUCAAAGACUGAGGUCGUUUGUUGAUUUAGCUCUGAGUAAAUCAUGUGUAGCCUUUGGUUAUGACCUCUGAUCAUGCACAUUUGUUUUUCAUGGAAAUACUUUCUCAACACUUACAAGGUCAUAAUAUCAAGCCCCUUGCUUCAUUUCCUUAUGCAACUACUAUAUGCAUCAACAAUGAUAUAUUUGAUUACUUCAACAUUCUAGGCCUUUCAAUGUGCCUUAGGGUGCUUUGGAUAAACUUGUAUCCUAUUCAAUGCAUGCAACUCCUUGUAGUUCUCUAGAUAUGUUGGUCUUAUUUUACCUACAUGUGUGUUUGUUUUCUUAAGUGGAAAUGUUGUUGGCAGAUAGAUCUAAUUGAGAUGAGUGCAUGAUAGCAUCAUCUAUUAAGAACAUUAGAGCAUUUCCGCUAGCUGUUAAGAUGUCACCGCUGCAAUGGGAGGAGUUACAAAAAUGUGCUUCUGAAUGUAGUGUGGACACAAAAGGUUGGGCUCUCAAUGUUAGCACUAGAUGGAAUUCAACAUAUUUCAUAUCGAGGGGUGUAUUAUAUUAUAGGUCUGCUUUUGAGAGGCUUGUGCCAUAUGAAUGAUGGAGGUAUGAAAUUUUUUUGCCUUCCUCUAAAGAAUGGGAUUUGGGGAAGUCUCUUUUACCAUGUAUGAGAAAGUUCUUUGAUCAGACUGAGCUAUUUUCUGAUACAUUAUAUCCCACUGCCAACAUUUUUUCAGAGGUUUUUUGAGAUUAAGUUGUUUCUUAUGGAUUGAUGUUGUAGCAGUCAUCCAACUAUUAGUAACAUGACAAACACUAUAAUGGUCAUGUUUGACUAUUACUAGAAGAAGCCCAACAUUGCUUUCUCUAUGGCUGGUCCACGGGACCACCACUCUGGUCGAUGCAAGGGCAAGUGAGAGUACUCCUCCAACAAGCACAAGUCCAAGGAAGGAUUUGACAAGGAGGCGCUCAAGAAGAAGUACCUCCAGAAGGCCAAGAUCAAGGAGAGAAGGCCAAGAUCAAGGAGAGUUCCUUCCUCGCCUCCCUCAGCAACCUCGACCAAGAUUCCAACAACGUAGUGUGUUCCUUGAGUGACAAGGAGACGGACAGGCGGGUUGAGGACAAGCUGAACGAGUUGUGCUUCAUCGUUGACACCACAGGAGGCCUUUGCAUCAUGGACCUUGGUGAUGAUGCAGUGGGCGACUGUGGCCAGAACAUCAGCGACGAUUCUGCUUUUGAGGUAUCACAUUCCACCGAUGAUCUCGACGCAGAGAUAGAAGAGCUGAGUGCUACUUUGGCAAAUUAGGACAAGUUGCUUAGGCUUGCUGCUCAUGUGAAGAAAGAUUUUAAUUUCAAGUAUGAGAGCACGCUUAGGUAGCUUGAGUCAGCUAGAGCUUCGGUCGUAGUGUCCGACAAGACAUAAUGUGAUGAGUGCGCUCUACACAAGUCGAACAUCACCACUUUGCAGACCAAGUAUGCCACCUUGCUAGAUGAGCACGGCGAGUUGAGAUCUAUGUCUAGCUUGUUAGGUGCGUGUACUGUUUGUCCUGGUUUGUAGACUGAGCUAGCGAAGAGAAAUGCUAGGAUAGCCUUGCUUGAGAAGGCUAGCUCAGUGAGUGUCCCUGCACCUGCGUAGUGUUCACUUUGUGAGGGUUUGCAGUCUGCUCUCAAGUCCUGCAGACAUAACAAAGACCUGGAUCGAGGAAGAAAACACAAACCUUCGUUCGGUCUUGAGUUGGGUGUUGUGCAGUGAUCCCAAUUGGGGAUGGUGGCUAGUCAUUUCAAGAGGGGAACUUGCGGACCGAGAAUAGGGUUUGCUUCUAGGUCUAGGAACAACGCUCAACUUGGCAAGGUUGGUGAGUGGAGUGGAUUAAAACCAUCAGAGAAACCUUCAGCCACUCCCAAGCUUAUCAAAAUCAUUCCACCUAAGGCUAUCACCCCUGUGAGAGAUGGUGAUUGAGGAGCCUGUGAGUGCCCCUCCUCAGAAACAAGUGUGGGUUCCAAAACCUAACCACCUCAUGAACACACUUGAUACCCUUCCCGACAUCUCCAGUGUCCCCCCUCCAAAAGCCAAGCCACUAAAAAAGAAAGCCCCAUUCCAUAAACAAAAUCCACCUAAGAGAGAGGUGAGGUUCAAAUGUGAGUAUUGUGAGAGGGACGGGCAUCUGGCUGCUUUUGCUUUAGGAGGAAGAGAGAUGAGCGGCGGGCUUCUGAGCCAAACAGAAAGGACAUGAACCACCUUUCUCGUGGUGUUCAUGAUCUUCCUAUUCGAAGAUGUCCUACGAGGCCUAGAGGUGCUUUGCCUCUUGUUGCUAGGCCUUAGGCAGAGAGACCACAAGGUGGUUGUGCCCUGUGGGGUGCUAGUCUUAUGCCAUAUGGCCAAGGACCCAUGAUAGCGUCUUUGGUUCUUGCUUCCCUAGCGGGCCAUAAUUUCCUUCUUAUGGAGAUCGCUUACCUUGUAGACUGGGAGGGGUUGUGUUUUUUCUAACACUUUUUAUGGGCAGAUGACGCAACACUGGUAUUAUUCUCAGUAUCCUAACCCUAGUGCUAUGCUAUUUGCUCGCCCGGGUCUUUCUAUUGAUGCAGAACGGAGGCCUGGAGAACACGUGGCUCGUGGAUUCUGGCUGUUCGACUUCGCGCCCACGUGACUGGAAGAAACAAAUGGUUCUCUAGCCUCGAUCGCGUGAUUGGUAGGGAAUAGAUCACAUUUUCCCGGAUGGCUGGAUUGGCGACACGCGUCCAUGCCAGGGCGCCUGCCCGGACCUGCAGCCACAGUUGUAACCCAGCAGGAGAGCACAUGGUAUAAACCUGUUUAUACUUGUCGUAACUGAGACAGGAAGUACCGCGAAAACGAGAUGGGGGUGGGUGCAGCUGCAACCUGACAGUCGGUACUCCACAGGAUCGAUGUCUCCGCGUCCAGGCAAGCCAGCCGUGCCGUGUCUCUGUGGCUCUGUGCAGUGUGGGAGAACGUGCAAUUGCGAACGCGCAGAAAGAGGGACGGCCUGGCGCGUACGACAAGUACGCCACGCAGUUACUACGCCCCACCAGCGCGGCAGCAGUCCAGCACGGACGCGGCGGCCGGGCAGCCCCUGCACCCCGCGCGCACAGGCCUCGGCCACACGAGUACACCGACCGAUCGAUGAAGCACUGCGCGGCGGCCGGCAUGCGGGCUGCUGCUACUAAUAAUGCGCCUCGCCAGGCAGCCCCGGACGGACGGUGCAGGUGGUGCUAUCGCUUUGCCGUGCGCGUGCGAUGCCUGUUGGAUUUUUACGCUGAAUCCUGUACUCGACCGCGUGCACCGGUCGACAGACGACUCGGUCACAGCCAACCACCAGCGCGUACCUGCCGUCGCCGGCCGCCUGCCACUGCCCCCGAGAAGGAUUUACGGAGACCGGGACAUCUUGUUUCUAGAAGCCGAGCUACCGUUUACCCGUCCACCUAUGGAUCGAUGGCAGAGCCUUUUACACAAGUGAAUUUGAUCUGUCCCUCUCUGAAAAUGAUAAUUAUGCUAUUUUGAAUCGGUGUGCAGGUUCAUCGAGCCCAUCCGAGGACGCCCCCACGAUGAGGAUUCAUGGAACGCAAAAAAACCACGUGACAAAGUCAAGCACGACCGAAAACUAGUGUUGCAUAGAAAUCUAGGUUUUAUAUCAAUACGCGACACAAAUUAAAAGAAGAAAACUAUAUAAACAAAAGAAGCAAACAUGCCACUAAAUUCUUAGUGAUCGAAUUGGUGUCGUAAGUAUUUAUUCAAUGUAUAUCCUCGAAUGGCGGGGGCACCGAGAAGAGGGCGGUGUCAGGAGGCCCCUUUGACACUAAGCAACGGCUCGCUGGUUCACUAAGCUUGCGGCCGCUGAGGAUGGGUCGUAUCAUCGCGACGAGCGAGAUCGGGCUUGCCAGACGUGUCGGCGUUGUGACGAUGACAAGUGGGGUGAGGGCGUCGCGAGGGUUUGGCCGAUUUAAUCCACCUAAAACUUUAUUUUUUCUAUAUUUAACAUUAAAUGAAUAUUAGAUAUAGGAGGUUUUAUAAAACUUGAGGGGGCAUGGCCACCUUUGUCCACCCUAUGGAUUCGCCCUGCUCAUAGGAACCUUCGUCGUGUGAAGGUCAGCGCCUGCCUUGCACCAUGCAUUGGUUGGCUGUAAUUCCCACUGUGUGUGUGACAUAACUAUGGUGUCGAGCCCUCGUCGGCCUGUGCUCUACCACAGUCUCGCAAGUGAUCGUAGGACACAAAUUGGACAGAGUAACGAGAGAGAGAGAGAGGGCAGAGAAGAAACCAACCUUCAGUUGAAUAUAUGCGCAAGAUACAGUCAUAUCCAUAGGAACACUAAUCCGUCUUUAAGAUAAAAACUUAUUAGCAAAUGUCUAUAUAUACGAAGAGGCUCAUGUGCUUGAGAGAUCAUCUUAAUCGCCACCAUCGCCUCUCUUCCUAGGGUUGCACACGAUUAAAAUGCAAGCAUAGUUCCUCUCGUUACUGAAAGGGAAAUGUGCCCUUGGGCCAUUUCUAAGUGUUUUGGUGAUUUAGUGUCAACACAAGUGCUUAAAUGUGGAUCUAUGCCCAUGGAUGAACAAAGUGCAAAUCAAGAGCAAGGGUAUGUUUCUAAGUCUCAGUACAUUGGUUUUGUGUACUAAUAUACUUGUCUAAGUAUCAGAAACAGAAAGAAGAAGAAAAGAGAAGAGUUGGCUGUGUCACAGCCGAGAGGCUGUUUCGGUCUGGGGCACCGGACUGUCCGAUGGUGCACCGGACAGUGUCCGGUGCGCCAGGCUGCCUCGAGCGAAGUGGCCGCUCUCGGGAAUUUGCCGACGGCGUACGGCUAAAAUUCACCGGACUGUCCGGUGUGCACCGGACUGUCCGGUGAGCCAACGGUCGGCCGGGCCAACGGUCGACCGCGCGAUCUGCGCGGGACACGUGACCGAGCCAACGGUCGGAAGGGGGCACCGGACUGUCCGGUGUGCAUCGGACAUGUCCGGUGCGCCAACGGCUCCCGCAUCUGCAACGGCCGGCUUCGCUAUUUAAGGAAGGAAAUCGGGCACCGGACAGUGUCCGGUGUGCACCGGACUGUCCGGUGCGCCCGACGACAGAAGGCAAGGAUGGCCUUCCAGAUUUGUUCUCAACGGCUCCUAGCUGCCUUGGGGCUAUAAAAGGGACCCCUAGGCGCAUGGAGGAGAACACCAAGCAACCUUAGAGCAUUCUUGAUCAUCCACACUCAGUCUUUGCGCUUUCGUUUGUCAUUCUCAGUGAUUCGAGCUCCGUUCUAGUGAGAACUUUGAGAUAGUCUUUUGAGCUCGAUUCUUGGCCGUGUGUGUGCGCAUUUUGCUGUGGAUUUGUGUGUGUUGCUUCCCUUCCUUACUCCGUGAUUCUUUGUGAACAUCAAAAGUGUAAGGGCGAAAGGCUCCAAGUUGUGGAGAUUCUUCGCGAACGGGAUAAGAAAAGAAAAGCAUAACACUGUGGUAUUCAAGUUGAUCAUUGGAUCACUUGAGAGGAGUUGAGUGCAACUCUCGUCCGUUGGGACGCCACAACGUGGAGUAGGCAAGUGUUGUACUUGGCCGAACCACGGGAUAAAUCACUGUGUCUUCUCUGUGUUGAAUUCUUUGUGAUUAUCGUAUUGUGCAAGACCUUCUCUCUAGCCACUUGGCAUUAACUGUGCUAACGCUUAAUCAAAGUUUUGUGGCUAUAAGUUUAAGUUUUACAGGAUCACCUAUUCACCCCCCCUCUAGGUGCUCUCAAUUGGUAUCAGAGCCAUUCUCUUCAAGAAAGGGACUAACCGCCCGAAGAGAUGGAUCCUAAGGGGAAGGGAAUCGUGAUCAACGACAAGGAGAAGGAGUCCUUCGUCAACGAGCCAAGGGAUGACAAGUCCAACGACUCGGGCUCGGGCCACAGACGCAAAGAUGGGAGGAAGAAGAAGACAAGACGCAUCAAGGAGAUCGUCUACUACGACAGCGAUGAGUCUACUUCCUCUCAAAAGGACGACGACCACAACGACUACGAGAGAAAGAAACCGGUCAAUUCGAACUUUUCUUUUGAUUACUCUCGUAUUCCUCAAAGUGCUAAUGCUCAUUUAUUAUCUAUUCCACUUGGUAAACCUCCUCAUUUUGAUGGAGAAGACUACGGAUUUUGGAGUCACAAAAUGCGUAGUCACUUGUUCUCUCUCCAUCCUAGCAUAUGGGAGAUUGUAGAGAGUGGAAUGCACUUUGAUAGUACGGAUAGUCCCAUGUUUAUUAAUGAACAAAUUCAUAAAAAUGCACAAGCUACUACUGUGUUGCUAGCCUCUUUGUGCAGGGACGAGUACCAUAAGGUGAGCGGCUUGGACAAUGCCAAGCAGAUCUGGGACACCCUCAAGAUCUCUCAUGAGGGAAACGAUGUCACCUUACUCACCAAAAUGGAGUUGGUGGAAGGCGAGCUUGGACGGUUCGCGAUGAUAAGGGGUGAGGAGCCGACACAAACAUACAACCGGCUCAAGACCCUUAUCAACAAAAUAAGGAGCUACGGAAGCACGCGGUGGACGAACCACGACGUCGUCCGCCUAAUGCUAAGGUCAUUUACCGUUCUUGAUCCUCAUUUGGUGAACAAUAUUCGUGAAAAUCCCAGGUACACCAAGAUGUCGCCCGAAGAAGUUCUUGGGAAAUUCGUUAGCGGGCGAAUGAUGAUCAAGGAGGCAAGGUACGUGGAUGACGCCUUGAAUGGUCCGAUCAACGAGCCGCAACCCCUUGCUCUCAAGGCAACACGAAGCAAGGAGGCGCUACCUAGCAAGGUGGCACAGAUUGAGGCGGCCGGACUCAAUGAUGAAGAGAUGGCUCUCAUCAUCAAAAGAUUCAAGACGACGCUUAAAGGUCGCAAGGGACAGCCAAGCAAGACCAAAACAAAGGAGAAGCGCUCGUGCUUCAAAUGUGGUAAGAUUGGUCAUUUCAUUGCUAACUGUCCCGAUAAUGAAAGUGACCAGGAAAAGGGGAACAAAAGGGAGAAGAAGAAGCAUUACAAGAAGGCCAAGGGCGAGGCACAUAUCGGAAAGGAGUGAGAUUCGGAUUGCUCCUCCUCCGACUCCGACAAUGAAGGACUCGCCGCCACCGCCUUCAACAAGUCAUCCCUCUUCCCCAACGAGCGUCACACAUGCCUUAUGGCAAGGGAGAAGAAGGUAUGCAAUAAAAACAAUGUCACUUAUGAUUCUUCUAGUGAUGAUGAGUCCAGUGAUGAAGAAAUAGAUUACUCUAGUCUGUUCAAGGGAUUGGAUAGAACUAAAAUAGAAAAGAUUAAUGAAUUGAUUGAUGCCUUGAAUGAAAAGGACAGACUCUUAGAAAAACAAGAGGAUCUUUUAUAUGAAGAGCAUGACAAAUUUGUAGAGGCACAAAAAUCUUAUGCUUUAGAAGUUAAAAGAAAUGAAGUGCUUUCUGGUGAAUUAUCUUCUUGCCAUGAAACCAUUGCUACUUUAAAAGGUGUUAAUAAUGAUUUAAAUGCUAAACUAGAAGUGGCUAGUAAAUCUAACUCUUGUGUAGAACAUGUUAUGGUUUGCACUAGGUGUAAAGAUUUUAAUGUUGAUACUUGUAGUGAACACCUAGUUUCAAUUUCUAAAUUGAAUGAUGAAGUGGCUAGUCUUAAUGCCCAACUUAAGACUAGCAAAAGCGAAUUUGAUAAAUUAAAAUUUGCAAGGGAUGCCUAUACGAUUGGUAGACAUCCCUCAAUUAAGGAUGGACUUGGCUUCAAGAGGGAAGCCAAGAACUUAACAAGCCAUAAGGCUCCCAUUUCCGCCAAGGAGAAAGGGAAGGCCCCUAUGGCUGGUAGUGCUAAAAACAACCAUGCUUUUAUGUAUCAUGAUAGGAGACAUACUAGAAAUGCAAAUAGAAGUUGUAAUGUUUUUGAUUCAUAUGUUCAUCAUGACAAGGUUGCUUCUAGUUCUUUCUAUGAGCAUGAUAGGAAUGUUGGUAGGAGAAAUGUUGUUCAUAAUGUUCCUAGGAAAGUUAAUGAGCCUUCUACAAUAUAUCAUGCUUUGAAUGCUUCCUUUGCAAUUUGUAGAAAGAAUAGAAAGGUGAUUGCUAGGAAGUUAGGGGCAAAAUGCAAGGGUGAUAAAACUUGCAUUUGGAUCCCUAAGGAAAUUGCGACUAACCUUGUAGGACCCAACAAGAGUUGGGUACCUAAGUCCCAAGUCUAAAAUUGCCUUGCAGGUUUAUGCAUCCGGAGGUUCAAGCUGGAUUAUUGACAGCGGAUGCACAAACCAUAUGACGGGGGAGAAGAAGAUGUUCACCUCCUACGUCAAGAAUAAAGAUUCCCAAGAUUCAAUAAUAUUCGGUGAUGGGAAUCAAGGCAAGGUAAAAGGGUUAGGUAAAAUUGCAAUCUCAAAUGAGCACUCUAUCUCUAAUGUGUUUUUAGUAGAGUCUCUUGGAUAUAAUUUGCUAUCUGUUAGUCAAUUAUGCAAUAUGGGAUAUAACUGUUUGUUUACAAAUAUAGAUGUGUCUGUCUUUAGAAGAUGUGAUGGUUCACUAGCUUUCAAGGGUACUCUAGACGGCAAGCUUUACUUAGUUGAUUUUGCAAAAGAAGAGGCCGGUCUAGAUGCAUGCUUAAUGGCUAAGACUUGCAUGGGCUGGCUGUGGCAUCGCCGCUUAGCACAUGUGGGGAUGAAGAACCUCCACAAGCUUCUAAAGGGAGAACACGUGAUAGGUCUAACCAAUGUUCAUUUCGAAAAAGAUAGACCUUGUGCAGCUUGUCAAGCAGGGAAACAGGUGGGAGGCUCUCAUCACACCAAAAAUGUGAUGACAACAUCAAGACCCCUGGAGCUGCUACAUAUGGACCUCUUCGGACCCGUCGCCUAUCUAAGCAUAGGAGGAAGUAAGUAUGGUCUAGUUAUCGUUGAUGACUUUUCCCGCUUCACUUGGGUGCUCUUUUUGCAGGAUAAGUCUGAAACCCAAGGGACCCUCAAGCGCUUCAUCAGGAGAGCUCAAAAUGAGUUUGAGCUCAAGGUGAAGAAGAUAAGGAGCGACAACGGGUCCGAGUUCAAGAACCUUCAAGUGGAGGAGUUCCUUGAGGAGGAAGGGAUCAAGCACGAGUUCUCCGCUCCCUACACACCUCAGCAAAAUGGUGUGGUAGAGAGGAAGAACAGGACGCUAAUCGAUAUGGCGAGGACGAUGCUUGGAGAAUUCAAGACCCCCGAGUGUUUCUGGUCGGAAGCCGUGAACACGGCUUGCCACGUCAUCAACAGGGUCUACCUUCAUCGCCUCCUCAAGAAGACUUCGUAUGAGCUUCUAACCGGUAACAAACCCAAUGUAUCUUACUUUCGUGUAUUUGGGAGCAGGUGCUACAUUCUAGUGAAGAAGGGUAGAAAUUCUAAAUUUGCUCCCAAAGCUGUAGAAGGGUUUUUGUUAGGUUAUGACUCAAAUACAAAGGCGUAUAGAGUCUUCAACAAAUCAUCGGGUUUGGUUGAAGUCUCUAGCGACGUUGUAUUUGAUGAGACUAAUGGCUCUCCUAGAGAGCAAGUUGUUGAUUGUGAUGAUGUAGAUGAAGAAGAUGUUCCGACAGCCGCUAUACGAACCAUGGCGAUUGGAGAAGUGCGGCCACAGGAACAAGAUGAACGAGAUCAACCUUCUUCCUCAACAACGGUGCAUCCCCCACCUCAAGAUGAUGAACAGGUUCAUCAAGAGGAGGCGUGUGAUCAAGGGGGAGCACAAGAUGUUCACGUGAUGGAGGAAGAAGCGCAACCGGCACCUCCAACCCAAGUUCGAGCGAUGAUUCAAAGGGAUCAUCCCGUCGACCAAAUUCUGGGUGACAUUAGCAAGGGAGUAACUACUCGAUCUCGAUUAGUUAAUUUUUGUGAGCAUUACUCUUUUGUCUCUUCUAUUGAGCCUUUCAGGGUAGAGGAGGCCUUGCUAGAUCCGGAUUGGGUAUUGGCCAUGCAGGAGGAACUCAACAACUUCAAGCGCAAUGAAGUUUGGACACUGGUGCCUCGUCCCAAGCAAAAUGUUGUGGGAACCAAGUGGGUGUUCCGUAACAAACAAGACGAGCACGGGGUGGUGACGAGGAACAAGGCUCGACUUGUGGCAAAAGGUUAUGCCCAAGUCGCAGGUUUGGACUUUGAGGAGACCUUUGCUCGUGUGGCUAGGCUAGAGUCCAUUCGUAUCUUGCUAGCAUAUGCCGCUCACCAUUCUUUCAGGUUGUACCAAAUGGAUGUGAAGAGCGCUUUCCUCAAUGGGCCAAUCAAGGAGGAGGUGUACGUAGAGCAACCCCCUGGCUUCGAGGAUGAACGGUACCCCGACCACGUGUGUAAGCUCUCUAAGGCGCUCUAUGGACUUAAGCAAGCCCCAAGAGCAUGGUAUGAAUGCCUUAGAGACUUUCUAAUUGUUAAUGCUUUCAAGGUUGGGAAAGCCGAUCCAACUCUUUUUACAAAGACAUGUGAUGGUGAUUUGUUUGUGUGCCAAAUUUAUGUCGAUGACAUAAUAUUUGGUUCUACUAACCAAAAGUCUUGUGAAGAGUUUAGAAGGGUGAUGACGCAGAAAUUCGAGAUGUCAAUGAUGGGCGAGUUGAACUACUUCCUUGGGUUCCAAGUGAAGCAACUCAAGGACGGCACCUUCAUCUCCCAAACGAAGUACACGCAAGAUCUGCUAAAGCGGUUUGGGAUGAAGGACGCCAAGCCCGCAAAGACUCCGAUGGGGACCGACGGACACACCGACCUCAACAAAGGAGGUAAGUCCGUUGAUCAAAAAGCAUACCGGUCAAUGAUAGGGUCUUUACUUUAUUUAUGUGCUAGUAGACCGGAUAUUAUGCUUAGCGUAUGUAUGUGUGCUAGAUUUCAAUCCGAUCCUAAGGAGUGUCACUUAGUGGCGGUGAAGCGAAUUCUUAGAUAUUUGGUUGCUACGCCUUGCUUCGGGCUCUGGUAUCCAAAGGGGUCUACCUUUGACUUGGUUGGAUACUCAGACUCCGACUAUGCUGGAUGUAAGGUCGAUAGGAAAAGUACAUCGGGGACGUGCCAAUUCUUAGGAAGGUCCCUGGUGUCGUGGAACUCUAAGAAACAAACUUCCGUUGCCCUAUCCACCGCUGAGGCCGAGUACGUUGCCGCAGGACAGUGUUGCGCGCAACUACUUUGGAUGAGGCAAACCCUCCGGGACUUUGGCUACAAUCUGAGCAAAGUCCCACUCCUAUGUGAUAAUGAGAGUGCAAUCCGCAUGGCGGAAAAUCCUGUUGAGCACAGCCGCACAAAGCACAUAGACAUCCGGCAUCACUUUUUGAGAGACCACCAGCAAAAGGGAGAUAUCGAAGUGUUUCAUGUUAGCACCGAGAACCAGCUAGCCGAUAUCUUUACCAAGCCUCUAGAUGAGAAGACUUUUUGCAGGUUGCAUAGUGAGCUAAAUGUCUUAGAUUCGCGAAACUUGGAUUGAAUUGUAGCAUACAUUUAUGCUUUUGAUCAUGUUCCUUUUUGCAUUUUAUUGCUGAUUGUGGUGCUCAAGUUGUACAAACACUCCCUGGACCUCACAAGUCCGUUGCAAAGUGAUGCACAUGUUUAGGGGGAGAUGUGUUACAACUUGACCCUUUGAGACUAACCAUGUACUUGAGUUUGAUGAUUUAGUCUCGAAGCAUCACGAAACACAUUUGAAAGGGAAAAGGUGGACUUGGACCAUGAAAGACUUCCACUGCACUCCGAUGAGAGGGUAACUUAUUCCAAGUUCAUCUCAUGAACUCUUAUUGCCAUUUGCUCUUAAUUGAAGAUUUUGGUGAGGCAAUGGGGUUAAAGGGCCAAGAUUGAUCCCGUUUUGGUGCUUGAUGCCAAAGGGGGAGAAAAUAAAGGCCAAAGCAAUAAAUGGAUCAGCUACCACUUGAGAAACUUUGAAAACAGUAGGAUAGAGCUUUUGGUUUGUCAAAACUCUUGCAUUGUCUCUUUUGUCAAAAGUUGGCCUCUUGUGGGGAGAAGUGUUGAUUAUGGGAAAAAGGGGGAGUUUUUGGAAUCUUGAAUCAAUUUUCUUUGGAAAACCUCUCUUUAUGUCUCUACAAGUGGAUUUGACUUAGAGAUAGGUUUUUGAGGUUGAUUUGCAAAAACAAACCAAGUGGUGGCAAAGGAUGAUCCAUAUAUGCCAAAUUGAAUCAAAAUAAAUUUGAGUUUUUAUUUGAAGUGAUAUUGCACUUGUUCUAGUUGCUUUAUGUUGUGUUGGCAUAAAUCACCAAAAAGGGGGAGAUUGAAAGGGAAAUGUGCCCUUGGGCCAUUUCUAAGUGUUUUGGUGAUUUAGUGCCAACACAAGUGCUUAAAUGUGGAUCUAUGCCCAUGGAUGAACAAAGUGCAAAUCAAGAGCAAGGGUAUGUUUCUAAGUCUCAGUACAUUGGUUUUGUGUACUAAUAUACUUGUCUAAGUAUCAGAAACAGAAAGAAGAAGAAAAGAGAAGAGUUGGCUGUGUACAGCUGAGAGGCUGUUUCGGUCUGGGGCACCGGACUGUCCGGUGGUGCACCGGACAGUGUCCGGUGCGCCAGGCUGCCUCGAGCGAAGUGGCCGCUCUCGGGAAUUUGCCGACGGCGUACGGCUAAAAUUCACCGGACUGUCCGGUGUGCACCGGACUGUCCGGUGAGCCAACGGUCGGCCGGGCCAACGGUCGGCCGCGCGAUCUGCGCGGGACACGUGGCCGAGCCAACGGUCGGAAGGGGGCACCGGACUGUCCGGUGUGCAUCGGACAUGUCCGGUGCGCCAACGGCUCCCGCAUCUGCAACGGCCGGCUUCGCUAUUUAAGGAAGGAAAUCGGGCACUGGACAGUGUCCGGUGUGCACCGGACAGUGUCCGGUGUGCACCGGACUGUCCGGUGCGCCCGACGACAGAAGGCAAGGAUGGCCUUCCAGAUUUGUUCUCAACGGCUCCUAGCUGCCUUGGGGCUAUAAAAGGGACCCCUAGGCGCAUGGAGGAGAACACCAAGCAACCUUAGAGCAUUCUUGAUCAUCCACACUCAGUCUUUGCGCUUUCGUUUGUCAUUCUCAGUGAUUCGAGCUCCGUUCUAGUGAGAACUUUGAGAUAGUCUUUUGAGCUCGAUUCUUGGCCGUGUGUGUGCGCAUUUUGCUGUGGAUUUGUGUGUGUUGCUUCCCUUCCUUACUCCGUGAUUCUUUGUGAACAUCAAAAGUGUAAGGGCGAAAGGCUCCAAGUUGUGGAGAUUCUUCGCGAACGGGAUAAGAAAAGAAAAGCAUAACACUGUGGUAUUCAAGUUGAUCAUUGGAUCACUUGAGAGGAGUUGAGUGCAACUCUCGUCCGUUGGGACGCCACAACGUGGAGUAGGCAAGUGUUGUACUUGGCCGAACCACGGGAUAAAUCACUGUGUCUUCUCUGUGUUGAAUUCUUUGUGAUUAUCGUAUUGUGCAAGACCUUCUCUCUAGCCACUUGGCAUUAACUGUGCUAACGCUUAAUCAAUGUUUUGUGGCUAUAAGUUUAAGUUUUACAGGAUCACCUAUUCACCCCCCUCUAGGUGCUCUCAAUUACGCGCGGUGCUAGCACGCUGGUGUCGCAGCUUUUCAUCCCCGCACAUCUGGAUCAGCAACGAACUUGAGGAGCACGGAUGAACUCGAGAAUGUUUGACUAUUUCCACUACAUCAACACCUUCUCUACUCACAUGUUAUUUUGGUUGAGCGUGGUAUAUAUGCUAGUGCAUAGCAUACACGUUUUCCAAUUGUAGUACCAGAGCUAGGUCAUGCAGAGUUUUUAAUUCAGAUAGUUUGCAUAUAGACGAUAUGCAUUGUAGACUAGAUCUUCAUUUGCUUUGGUUAUAACAUGGAUUUGGACGGAUGAGGUAGUUAUUGGUGUAGUAGUACAACAUCUUGCCUUGUUUCUAGAAGCGGAGCUACCGUUUACCGUCCACCUAUGGAUCGAUGGCAGAGCCUUUUACACAAGUGAAUUUGAUUUGUCUCUCUCUGAAAAUAAUGAUUAUGCUAUUUUGAAUCGGUGUGUAGGUUCAUCGAGCCCAUCCGAGGACACCCGCACGAUGAGGAUUCAUGGGACGCCAAGAAAACCACGUGAUGAAAUCAAGCAUGCCUGAAAACUAGUGUAGCAUAGGAAUCUAAGUUGUAUAUCAAUACGUGAUACAAAUUAAAAAAAAGAAAACUAUAUAAACAAAAGAAGCAAACAUGCCGCUAAGUUCUUGGUGACUGGAUUGAUGUCAUAGGUAUCCGUUGAAUGUAUAUCCUCGAAUGGCGGGGGCACUGAGAAGAGGGCGGUGUCAGGAGGCCCCUCCGACACUAAUCAAGGGCUCGCUGGUUCACCAAGCUUGCAACCGCUGAGGAUGGGUCGCAUCAUCGCGACGAGUGAGAUCGGGCCUGACAGACGUGUCGACGUUGUGACGAUGACAAGUGGGGUGAGGGUGUUGCGAGUUUUUGGAGUCGGACAGCGUCACGCGUCAUGAAGGAUAUGGGUGAAAACGGGCGGAUACGGACGGAUAAUAGAUCAUCCUGUAUCCUACCCUAAUGUAUUUAAAACGGAUUCGGGAUCGGAUAUAGAUAGUUAGAAAUGCGAUGGAUACGGAUACAGGGACCAGAUAUUUAUUCAGGCGGAUAAGUGGCGGAUACAGAUAUUAUUUGGGCAGAUAUCUGAUACUUCUCGGAUAAUGCAUUAAUUGCUUACCAUAAAGUAUUCUUAUUCGACCACGAAUUGCAAAUAAAUUAUCAAGACUAAUAAACAUUUUAUAAGAAGAUAAUCUCAAGUUCCCACAUAAAAAUGGUAAAGUGAAGUAUUGAUUAUGUUGAAACUUGGAUACUUAGAGUGAUUUCACGUAUAACUCACGCAAUAAGUGGAAAUGAAAUAGAAGACACAUUGACAUCUUAAGGAUUUUAUGGUCCCAUUUAUUUUUGAUGACUAUGUGUGGCCAUAGUCCAAAUGUUUUUGAGAACUAUAUGUGGAUAUAUAUUGUGUCCCCGUAAAAAUUCAUGAUUUUUAAGCUAAUUGUGUUAUUAUUAUUAUUUUUCUAUAGAAAAUCAUUAAAAUGCAAUUAAUUCAUAAAAUAUUCUAGUUUCACUGAAAAAUUGCAAAUAAGUUAUAAGAACUAAUAAACAUUCUAUACGAAGAUAACUCAAGUCCUCACAUGAAAAUGAUAAAGUAAAGUACAAAUUAUAUUAAAACUUGGAUAUUUAGAGUGAUUUCACUUGUAGCUCAUACAAAUAAGUUAAAGUGAAAUGGAAGAAACGCGUGCAUCUUAUAUAUUUUAUGAUCAAAAUAUUUUUUAUCGUUAUAUAUGGACAUAUGUUGUGCCUUCGUAAAAUUUGAUAUUUUUUAUUCUAUUUGGUGUAUUAUUAAUUAAAUUCAUAAACAUAUUGUAGUGUCGACCGAAAAUUGCAAAUAACUUACCAAUACUAAUAAAUAGUUUAUAAAAAGAUAACCUUAAGUUUCCACAUGGAGAUAGCCUUAUGUCCCCACAUGAAAAUGAUAAAGUCUAUUAAUUUGAUAUAAAAUUGGACAUUAUUUCAAUGAUUUUGGCCUAAAAAUUUGUUUAAACAAAAAUGUGAUGUACUACAAAGUUAUAGAUCUCUUCGAGCUCUACAAUUUUUAUACAAACUUUAUCUUCAUCUGAUUUCAUAUGUAAAAGUUAUGAUUUUAUAACUAUAUAAUUAUGCAAAAAAAAAUAAAAAUGGGUACCCGUAUCCGAACCGUAUAUCCGGGUAUUUACCGGGUAGUCAUCACUCCGUAUCCGACCCGAUCCGAAGCUGCACUAUCCGGGUAUUAACCGUAUCCGUCCCGCAUAUAAAAAAAUACCCGAAUCCGUAUCGAAAAAGGGUAUUUGCACUUGUAGGAAACGAUGACGACUAAGAGGGGGUGUGAAUUAGGACUUCUAAAAACUAUAUCUAAACUAGGCACAAUUAAAUCCCUAGAACAAAACCUAUGCAAAUAAGCAAUCUAGAAUGUGCAAACUAAGUUUUGUCUAAGUGUUGCUAUCUCUACCGUAGAGGCUAAGUUUCAAUCCUAAAUAAUCUAACUAGAAAGACAAGAUUAAAACUUAAAUACUUAAUAUAAAUGCGGAAGGUAAAAAGCAAGGUAGAGAUGCAAACUUUUGUGAAUGAUGCUAGUAUUUUUAUCGAGGUAUCCAGAACCACGCAAGGUUCCGACUAAUCCUCGUUGGUGCCCCUACUAAAAGGGUAGCCCAUGCGAGGGCCAAGCAUCUCGGUCGAGUAACUACGUAGAGAGCCACGGGCCUUCUCCACGCUCAAGUGGUGCUCCGCUUCUGGCUCCUCUCGGGCGCUCCCCGCCGUCUCCACUAUUGAGCUUCCGGCUGAAACACUGCGGGCCUCGUUCCCUCUGGUACACGGUAGCGGUCGUGACACAAAUUCGGUUGUCACGGUCUCGCAAGACUCUCGCCCCACUUGGUACAAUUACAACGGCUCACGCAAGAGCCGAGGGGUUGUGUGUUUUUUCUAAACUCACUUAACUAACUAGGAUUCAACUAGAGCAAGCGCUAAUACGGUCUAACUAAUCUAAGCAGUUCGCAAAUCACCUAUGCUAAUCACCGAGUGAUUUUAUUAAGCACUUGGGUGUUUGAGCACUUGGAAAUAUCUACAAUAUGCCUUGGUAUAUUGCUUGGGCUCCCACACCUCCAAAUGGCCGAUUGGGGGUGUUUAUAGCCUCCCCUCAAAUGUAGCCGUUGGACAGAAGCAACAGCUUUCUGUCGACGAGCGUACCGGACAGUCCGGUGCACACCGGACAUGCACUAUUCACUGUCCGGUGCCCUGGCCACAUCAGCCGACGUUGCGGUCUUCAGCAGUCGACUGUUGGAUCUAAUUGUUACCAGACCGUCCGUGCUGCAGCCCGAGGGCGCUAUCUGCGGGCCCCUCUGCGCAGACUGUCAGGUGUUACAUCGGACAGUCCGGUGCACACCGGAUAUGGUAAUGUUCACUGUCCGGUGCGCCACCAGGGCGCUGGCUGUCUGGCCACUUCAUGGAUUACAUCACUGUUUCCUUAGGCUUCUUUUGUUCUUGAGUCUUGAACUUCUAAUCUCUUUUAUGUCUUCUUUUGAGGUGUUGCAUCCUUAGUGCCUUAGUCCAAUCCUCUUCGCAUCCUGUGAACUACAAAUACAAACACUAACAAACUCACUAGUCCAUAGGUUAUGUUGACCAUCAAACACCAAAACCUUUUGAGCCAAAUGGCCCGAGGUCCAUUUUCCUUACAAUCUCCCCCUUUUGGUGAUUGAUGACAACACAACCAAAGCAAGCAAAUAUAAUAAAUAUUUGAAUGAAAAUAUGCAAUCUACUUGCUAGGAUGCAUGAGUGUCCCCUUAAAGUGAGAUUAUGGACUUGAACCUCUUCUAACUCCAUAAUUCACUUACUUCCUAUUUUAGACCAAAAAACCAAACCACUAGCAAUAUUACAAUUUUAAUUUGGUGGUGUUUGGUGUUUGAUAUAAUUUUCAUUGCUUUGGUUCCUAAAACUUCUCCCCUUUAGCAUCAACCACCGAAAAGGGAGAAGUUAAAAGCAUGUACGAAGCAAAUAAGACUUGCCCUCUUAAAAGAUCUAUUAAUUGAAGCACUAAAAGAGUACUCCCCCUAAACGAGUGUUCUUAUUUUGAAAGAAUAUUCUCCCUCUUUGUCAUAGAUGAAGAAAUACUCCCUCUGUCAGAGAUCUUCUACUUAGGAAAGAGCAUGUGAGAAAUAGAGGUACAAGACAUGAUUUGAUUAGACUAAUUCCCCCUAUGCAUAGGUAACAAAUAUAUUUUUGACAAAAUAUGCAUUUAGCAACAUGAGAAGUAAGAGAUAUGAAAUAUAGUCAAAUCAAUCACUGGAGAAGACAUGUAAAAGAUACCAAAUGUAGUCAUGUCAGACAUAAAACUACUUGUAGAUUUGAAGUGGAAGCUUAUUGUCUUUCUCUGGGGACUCCAUUUUCCUUCAAUGAGACUACUACAUAUAAUAGACUUGAAAACAGGUAUUAGUCUCAAAGACUUAGAUUAUAGAGCAACCUCCCCCUGAAAGUAUGCAUACAAGUUUUGAAUACUUGUAGGAGACAUGCACUUUGAUUUUGAUAUCAAGAGGGGAAAAUUAUCUAUAAUCCGGGCUUUGGCACAUAUAAGUUCAAUGAUACCAAUUGAAGUAUGGAGGAUAUCAAAUGUAGUAUAUAUCAUAUACCAAAACCAAUUGGAAUAUCAUUUAAUUAGAAUGUUUAAUGAGCUAUGUGUCGUGCUUAACUAAUCCUUUUAAACCAUGUAGGUUUGCUCAAGAAUAUGAAUUGAAAACAAGCAUUCCUACCAUAUGAUUACCCUAGUAUGCAUGCAAUUAUAGUCAAAAGUGAAUACCACAUGUAAAAACGAGGCAUGUAAGGUAAAAACUAGAUAUAAGAAAAUAAUUACUCAUAUUUUUAAAAAAGAAAUGCAUUAAAUCUAGUUACCUUAGUCAUGGGUGGGGAACUUGGGUCCAAAGUAUUCACUAACCCACUUGGCAGUAGUUUUGAUCCAACAUGAUGCAUCCCAUGAUAUACAUCCCAAUUUUGCCAAGUCUCCAAAUUCCCUGAAGUCGUUCGGACUUCUCACUUCCCUCUUGGGAUCCAAACCUUCUUAGUGCUUUCAUGGUUGAAAUAAUUUCCUUUGGCACCCAGAUGCGUUUGGCCCCUUUUCCUUUGUUGGCUUGCUUGUUGGCCUUGAUUGCUACCACCUUUCCAUUCUUUUUCUUCUUGAUCAAAUAUGGUGUAGCAACCUUUUUAUUCACCUUGUUGAUGUAGGUAGGCCUGGGCAAAAAGAACCGGAACCGAGGAACCGAACCGAAAUAACCGAGAACCGAAACCGAACUAACCGAACCGAAGGAACCGUUAUGAAAUUCGGUUCUGGUUUUUUAAGAACCGAAAUAAAUGAUAUAUUUUCGGUUCUGCACUCCAAAGAACCGAAAGAACCAAAAAACCCAAAAGUAUUAGAUUCAAUUUGUUACAUGUGUUUGUAACUUCGGAUGUUGUGUUAUCGACUUAUGUUGAACCUCUAAUCAUCCAUGUAUUAUCUAUGAAAUUAUGGUCAUUGUGCACUUGUCGUUGUUUGUGGGGAGAUGUUGCUGAAAUUUCUCACAAAAGUUGUCGUUAUUCAGAAUUUUAGAGUGGUUGUUACAGUUCGGUUAGAACCGAGGAACCGAACCGAAGAACCGAGAACCGAACUAGUCGGUUCUGGUUUCUUUAUCUUGCUAUUUCGGUUCUAGUUUUUGAAGAACCGAAUAUCUACAAGAACCAAGGAACCGAACCGAACCGAACCGAAGAACCGAAUGUCCAGUCCUAGAUGUAGGUGUUGGAGAUUUUGCUUGAUGGCUUUUGCUUGAGCUUUUGCUUAUCCCCGAUAUUCGCCUUGCAUUGGUAAGACUUGUGGCCUUCCUUGUGGCAUAGCCUACAAAUCACGGUUUCUCCCUCUACAGGCUUGUUCACUCUCGCAGUGGUGUUAUUCUGAGGAGGUUGGAUUUGUUUGGCUUUGCCUUUCUUGUCACACAAAGCCUUGCCAAGGCGAGCCACCUCUUGCUUUAAUUGCCCAUUCUCCAUUGCAAUCUGAUAGUCGCCUAGAGGGGGGGGGGUGAAUAGGGCGAAACUGAAAUUUUACAAAUAUAAACACAACUACAAGCCGAGUUAGCGUUAGAAAUAAAACCGAGUCCGUGAGAGAGGGUGGAAAACAAAUCACAAGCAAAUGAAGAGUGUGACACAUGGAUUUGUUUUACCGAGGUUCGGUUCUCUCAAACCUACUCCCCGUUGAGGAGGCCACAAAGGCCGGGUCUCUUUCAACCCUUCCCUCUCUCAAACGGUCCUUCCGACCGAGUGAGCUUCUCUUCUCAAAUCAAAGCCGGGAACAAAACUUCCCCGCAAGGGCCACCACACAAUUGGUGCCUCUUGCCUUGAUUACAAUGGAGUUUUGAUCACAAGAACAAGUGAGAAGGAAAAGAAGCAAUCCAAGCGCAAGAGCUCAAGAGAACACGGCAAAUCUCUCUCACUAGUCACUAAAGCCUUUUGUGGAAUUGGAGAGGAUUUGAUCUCUUUGGUGUGUCUAGAAUUGAAUGCCUAGCUCUUGUAAGUGGUUGAGAAGUGGAAAACUUGGAUGCAAUGAAUGGUGGGGUGGUUGGGGUAUUUAUAGCCCCAACCACCAACUUGACCGUUGGUGGAGGCCAUCUGUUCGAUGGCGCACCGGACAGUCCGGUGCACACCGGACAUGUCCGGUGCCCCCGCCACAUCAUCAGUGCCGUUGGAAAUUGACCGUUGGAGUUCUGACUUCUGGGCCCGCCUUGAUGUCCGGUGGCGCACCGGACAUGCACUGUUCACUGUCCGGUGCGCCGGCAUGGGCGACUCUGACUUCUGCGCGCGCUGCGCGCGCAUUAAAUGUCGUCGCAGGUAGCCGUUGGCGCGAAGUAGCCAUUGCUCCGAGGACGCACCGGACAGUCCGGUGUACACCGGACAUGUCCGGUGAAUUAUAGCGGAGCAGCCUUCGCGAAUUCCCGAGACUGGCGAGUUCCGGAGCCGUGCCUUCUUUGGAGCACCGGACACUGUCCGGUGUACACCGGACAGUCCGGUGAAUUAUAGCGUGCCGGCUCCAGGAAAAACCCGAGGCUGAGGAGUUCAGCGCGAGUCCUCCUGGUGCACCGGACACUGUCCGGUGCGCCACCGGACAGUCCGGUGCGCCAGACCAGGGAGUCUUCCGGGAUGCCUUUAGCUCUCUAUUUGAACCCAACUUUGGUCUUUUUAAUUGGCUUGAUGUGAACCUUUGACACCUGUAUAACUUAUUCACUAGAGCAAACUAGUUAGUCCAAAGAUUUGUGUUGGGCAAUUCAACCACCAAAAUUAUAUAGGAACUAGGUGUAAGCCUAAUUCCCUUUCAAUCUCCCCCUUUUUGGUGAUUGAUGCCAACACAAACCAAAGCAAAUAUAGAAGUGCAUAAUUGAACUAGUUUGUAUGAUGUAAGUGCAAAGGUUGCUUGGAAUUGAGCCAAUAUAAAUACUUACAAGAUAUGCAUGGAUUGUUUCUUCAUUCUUAACAUUUUGGACCACGCUUGCACCACAUGUUUUGUUUUUGCAAACUCUUUUGUAAAUCCUUUUCAAAGUUCUUUUGCAAAUGGUCAAAGGCAAAUGAAUAAGAUUUUGAGAAGCAUUUUCAAGAUUUGAAAUUUUCUCCCCCUGUUUCAAAUGCUUUUCCUUUGACUAAACAAAACUCCCCCUAAAUGAUAUCCUCCUCUUAGUGUUCAAGAGGGUUUUGAUAUAUCAUUUUUGAAAUACUAUUUUUCUCCCCCUUUUGAACACAAUAGGAACCCAAUUGAUAAUAUUUUUGGAAAACACGAAGUUUUUGAAAUAGGUGGUGGUGCGGUCCUUUUGCUUUGGGCUCAUACUUUCUCCCCCUUUGGCAUGAAUCGCCAAAAACGGAAUCAUUAGAGCCCUCGAAGUGCUAUCUUCCCCUUUGGUCAUAAAUAAAUGAGUUAAGAUUAUACCAAAGACGAAGUCCUUUUGUUCUCUCCCCCAAAGAUGGAGAGUCUCUUGGAGCGACGGCGAAGGAUGAGUUACGGAGUGGAAGCCUUUGUCUUCGCCGAAGACUCCAAUUCUCUUUCAAUAUACCUAUGACUUGGUUUGAAAUACUAUUGAAAACACAUUAGUCAUAGCAUAUACAAAAGAGACAUGAUCAAAGGUAUAUUUAUGAGCUAUGUGUGCAAGUUAGCAAAAGAAAUUCCUAGAAUCAAGAAUAUUGAGCUCAUGCCUAAGUUUGGUAAAAGUUUGUUCGUCAAGAGGCUUGGUAAAGAUAUCGGCUAAUUGAUCUUUAGUAUUAAUGUAUGCAAUCUCGAUAUCUCCCUUUUGUUGGUGAUCCCUAAGAAAAUGAUACCGAAUGGCUAUGUGCUUAGUGCGGCUAUGCUCGACGGGAUUGUCGGCCAUUUUAAUUGCACUCUCAUUAUCACAUAGCAAAGGGACUUUGGUUAAUUUGUAACCGUAGUCCCGCAAGGUUUGCCUCAUCCAAAGCAAUUGCGCGCAACAAUGGCCUGCGGCAAUAUAUUCGGCUUCGGCGGUAGAAAGAGCGACCGAAUUUUGCUUCUUUGAAGCCCAAGACACCAAGGAUCUUCCCAAGAACUGGCAAGUCCCCGAUGUGCUCUUUCUAUUAAUCUUACACCCCGCCCAAUCGGCAUCCGAAUAACUAAUUAAAUCAAAAGUGGAUCCCCGAGGGUACCAAAGCCCAAACUUAGGAGUAUAAGCCAAAUAUCUCAAGAUUCAUUUUACGGCCGUAAGGUGGGAUUCCUUAGGGUCGGAUUGGAAUCUUGCACACAUGCAGACGGAAAGCAUAAUAUCCAGUCGAGAUGCACAUAAAUAGAGUAAAGAACCUAUCAUCGACCGGUAUACCUUUUGAUCCACGGACUUACCUCCCGUGUCGAGGUCGAGAUGCCCAUUGGUUCCCAUGGGUGUCUUGAUGGGCUUGGCAUCCUUCAUCCCAAACUUGUUUAGAAUGUCUUGAGUGUACUUCAUUUGGCUAAUGAAGGUGCCCUCUUGAAGUUGCUUUACUUGGAAUCCUAAGAAAUACUUCAACUCCCCCAUCAUAGACAUCUCGAAUUUCUGUGUCAUAAUCCUACUAAACUCUUCACAUGUAGACUCGUUAGUAGACCCAAAUAUAAUAUCAUCAACAUAAAUUUGGCAUACAAACAAGUCAUUUUCAAGAGUUUUAGUAAAGAGUGUAGGAUCGGCUUUUCCGACUUUGAAGCCAUUAGCAAUGAGAAAGUCUCUAAGGCAUUCAUACCAUGCUCUUGGGGCUUGCUUGAGCCCAUAAAGCGCCUUAGAGAGCUUAUAGACAUGGUUAGGAUACUCACUGUCUUCAAAGCCGGGAGGUUGCUCAACAUAGACCUCUUCCUUGAUUGGUCCAUUGAGGAAGGCACUUUUCACGUCCAUUUGAUAAAGCUUAAAGCCAUGGUAAGUAGCAUAGGCUAAUAAUAUGCGAAUUGACUCAAGCCUAGCUACGGGUGCAUAGGUUUCACCGAAAUCCAAACCUUCGACUUGGGAGUAUCCCUUGGCCACAAGUCGAGCUUUGUUCCUUGUCACCACACCAUGCUCAUCUUGCUUGUUGCGGAAGACCCAUUUUGUUCCUACAACGUUUUGAUUAGGACGUGGAACCAAAUGCCAUACCUCAUUCCUAGUGAAGUUGUUGAGCUCCUCUUGCAUUGCCACCACCCAAUCCGAAUCUUGUAGUGCUUCCUCUACCCUGUGUGGCUCAAUAGAGGAAACAAACGAGUAAUGUUCACAAAAAUGUGCAAUACGAGAUCUAGUAGUUACCCCCUUAUGAAUGUCGCCGAGGAUGGUGUCGACGGGGUGAUCUCGUUGGAUUGCUUGGUGGACUCUUGGGUGUGGCGGCCUUUGCUCUUCAUCCUCCUUGUCUUGAUCAUUUGCAUCUCCCCCUUGAUCAUUGCCGUCAUCUUGAGGUGGCUCAUUUGCUUGAUCUUCUACUUCAUCAACUUGAGCUUCAUCCUUAUUUUGAGUCGGUGGAGAUGCUAGCGUGGAGGAGGAUGGUUGAUCUUGUGCAUGUGGAGGCUCUUCGGAUUCCUUAGGACACACAUCCUCAAUGGACAUGUUCCUUAGCGCUAUGCAUGGAGCCUGUUCUUCACCUAUCUCAUCAAGAUCAACUUGCUCUACUUGAGAGCCGUUAGUCUCGUCAAACACAACGUCACAAGAAACUUCAACAAGUCCUGAGGACUUGUUAAAGACUCUAUAUGCCCUUGUGUUUGAGUCAUAUCCUAGUAAAAAGCCUUCUACAGUUUUAGGAGCAAAUUUAGAUUUUCUACCUCUCUUAACAAGAAUAAAGCAUUUGCUACCAAAAACUCUAAAAUAUGAAAUAUUUGGCUUUUUACCGGUUAGGAGUUCAUAGGAUGUCUUCUUGAGGAUUCGGUGUAGAUACAACCGGUUGAUGGCGUAGCAAGCGGUGUUGACCGCCUCGGCCCAAAACCGAUUCGAAGUCUUGUACUCAUCAAGCAUGGUUCUUGCCAUGUCCAAUAGAGUUCGAUUCUUCCUCUCCACUACUCCAUUUUGUUGUGGAGUGUAGGGAGAAGAGAACUCAUGCUUGAUGCCCUCCUCCUCAAGGAAACCUUCAAUUUGAGAGUUCUUGAACUCCGUCCCGUUGUCGCUUCUAAUUUUCUUGAUCCUUAAGCCGAACUCAUUUUGAGCCCGUCUCAAGAAUCCCUUUAAGGUCUCUUGGGUUUGAGAUUUUUCCUGCAAGAAGAACACCCAAGUGAAGCGAGAAUAAUCAUCCACUAUUACAAGACAAUACUUACUCCCGCCGAUGCUUAUGUAAGCAAUCGGGCCGAAUAGAUCCAUGUGGAGUAGCUCAAGCGGCCUGUCGGUCGUCAUGAUGUUCUUGUGUGGAUGUUGGGUUCCAACUUGCUUCCCGGCUUGGCAUGCGCUACAAAUCCUGUCUUUCUCAAAAUGAACAUUUGUUAAUCCUAAAAUGUGUUCUCCCUUUAGAAGCUUAUGAAGAUUCUUCAUCCCAACAUGGGCUAGUCGGCGGUGCCAGAGCCAACCCAUGUUAGUCUUAGCAAUUAAGCAAGUGUCGAGUUCAGCUCUAUCAAAAUCUACCAAGUAUAGCUGACCCUCUAACACUCCCUUAAAUGCUAUUGAAUCAUCACUUCUUCUAAAGACAGUGACACCUACAUUAGUGAAUAGACAGUUGUAGCCCAUUUGACAUAAUUGGGAUACGGAAAGCAAAUUGUAAUCUAAUGAAUCAACAAGAAAAACAUUUGAAAUGGAAUGGUUAGGAGAUAUAGCAAUUUUACCCAAACCUUUGACCAAACCUUGAUUUCCAUCCCCGAAUGUGAUAGCUCGUUGGGGAUCUUGGUUUUUCUCAUAUGAGGAGAACAUCCUUUUCUCCCCUGUCAUGUGGUUUGUGCACCCGCUGUCGAGUAUCCAACUUGAGCCCCCGGAUGCAUAAACCUACAAAACAAUUUUAGUUCUUGAAUUUAGGUACCCAAACGGUUUUGGGUCCUUUGGCAUUAGACACAAGAACUUUGGGCACCCAAACACAAGUCUUGGAGCCCUUGUGUUUGCCCCCAACAAACUUGGCAACUACCUUGCCGGAUUUGUUAGUAAGCACAUAUGAUGCAUCAAAAGUUUUGAAUGAAAUAGCAUGAUCAUUUGAUGCAUUAGGAGUUUUCUUCCUAGGCAACUUGGCACGGAUUGGUUGCCUAGAGCUAGAUGUCUCACCCUUAUACAUAAAAGCAUGAUUAGGGCCAGAGUGAGACUUCCUAGAAUGAAAUUUCCUAAUUUUGCUCUCAGGAUAACCGGCAGGGUACAAAAUGUAACCCUCGUUAUCCUGAGGCAUGGGAGCCUUGCCCUUCACAAAGUUAGACAAGUUCUUAGGAGGGGCAUUAAGUUUGACAUUGUCUCCCCUUUGGAAGCCAAUGCCAUCCUUGAUGCCCGAGCGUCUCCCAUUAUAGAGCAUACUUCUAGCAAAUUUAAACUUUUCAUUUUCCAAGUUAUGCUCGGCAAUUUUUGCAUCUAAUAAUGCUAUAUGAUCAUUUUGUUGUUUAAUUAAAGACAUGUGAUCAUGAAUAGCAUUGAUAUCAACAUCUCUACAUCUAGUACAAAUAGAAACAUGCUCAACAUUAGAUGUAGAGGGUUUGCAAGAUUUUAAUUCAACAACCUUAGCAUGUAACAUAUCAUUCUCAGUUCUAAGGUCGGAAAUAAUAGAAUUGCAAACAUCAAAAUCUUUAGCCUUAGCAAUCAAAUUUUCAUUUUCUAUUCUAAGGCUAGCAAGAGAAUCAUUCAAUUCCUUAAUCUUAGCAAGCAAGUCAUCAUUAUUAUUUCUAAGAUUGGGAAUUGAAGCAUCACAAACAUGAGACUCAACCUUAGCAAUUAAACUAGCAUUUUCAUUUCUAAGGUUGACAAUGGUGUCAUGGCAAGUGCUUAGUUCACUAGGUAGUUUUGACAUUUUUCUACUUCUAGAGCAUAAGCAUUUUUAACCUUAACAUGUUUCUUGUUUUCUUUAAUUAGAAAAUCCUCUUGGGAAUCCAAAAGGUCAUCUUUUUCAUGAAUAGCGCUAAUCAAUUCAUUUAAUUUUUCCUUUUGUUCCAUGUUAAGAUUGGCAAAAAGGGUAAGCAAGUUAUCCUCCUCAUCACUAGCAUUAUCAUCACUAGAGGACUCAUAUUUUGUGGAGGAUUUAGAUUUAACCUUUUUCCUUUUGCCGUCCUUUGCCAUGAGGCACUUGUGGCCGACGUUGGGGAAGAGAAGCCCCUUGGUGACGGCGAUGUUGGCGGCGUCCUCGUCGGAGGAGGACUCGGUGGAGCUCUCGUCGGAGUCCCACGCGCGGCAUACGUGGGCAUCGCCGCCCUUCUUCUUGUGGUACCUCUUCUUCUCUCUUCUCUUGCCCUUCUUGUCGUUGUCCCUGUCACUGUCACUUGAUAAUGGACAUUUAGCGAUAAAGUGACCGGGCUUACCACACUUGUAGCAAACCUUCUUGGAACGGGAUUUGUAAUCCUUUCCCUUCCGUUGCUUAAGGAUUUGCCGAAAGCUUUUGAUGAUUAAGGCCAUCUCUUCAUUGUCGAGCUUGGAGGCGUCAAUUGGUUGUCUACUUGGUGUAGACUCCUCCUUCUUCUCCUCCGUUGCCUUGAAGGCCACCGGCUGUGCCUCGGACGUGGAGGGUUCGUCAAGCUCGUUGAUCUUCUUUGAUCCUUUAAUCAUACAUUCAAAGCUCACAAAAUUCCCGAUAACUUCCUCGGGGGUCAUUAGUGGGUAUCUAGAAUUACCACGAAUCAAUUGAACUUGAGUGGGGUUAAGAAAAAUGAGAGCUCUUAGAAUAACCUUAACCACCUCAUGGUCGUCCCACUUUUUGCUCCCGAGGUUGCGCACUUGGUUCACCAAGGUUUUGAGCCGGUUGUACAUAUCUUGUGGCUCCUCCCCUUGGCGAAGACGGAAGCGACCGAGCUCCCCCUCGAUCGUUUCCCGCUUGGUGAUUUUGGUGAGUUCAUCACCCUCGUGCGCGGUCUUGAGUAGGUCCCAAAUCUCCUUUGCAUUCUUCAACCCUUGCACUUUGUUGUAUUCCUCCUUGCUUAAAGAGGCGAGGAGUAUGGUUGUGGCUUGAGAGUUGAAGUGCUCGAUUUGGGCCACUUCGUCCGUAUCAUAAUCCUCAUCCCCUACAGAAGGUACCUGUGCUCCAAACUCAACAACAUUCCAUAUACUUUUGUGGAGUGAGGUUAGAUGAAAUUUCAUUAAAUCACUCCACCUAGCAUAAUCUUUGCCAUCAAAAGUUGGCGGUUUGCCUAAUGGAACGGAAAGCAAUGGAGUAUGUCUAGAUGUACGGGGAUAGUGUAAGGGAAUCUUACUAAACUUCUUGCGCUCUUGGCACUUAGAAGUUACGGACGGCACAUCGGAGUCGGAGGUAGAUGUUGAUGAAGUGUCGGUCUCGUAGUAGACCACCUUCCUCAUCCUUUUGUGCUUGUCUCCUUUCCGAUGCGACUUGUGGGAAGAAGAUUUCUCCUUCUUCUCCUUGUGGUGUGAGGAAGAAGAUCUUUUCUCCUUCCGUUUGGAGGAGUCCUUCUUCUUCUCCUUCCUCUUGGUGCGGGACUCUUCCGAUGAAGUGCUCCCUUGGCUCGUAGUGGGCUUGUCGCCGGUCUCCAUCUCCCUCUUGGUGUGAUCUCCCGACAUCACUUCGAGCGGUUAUGCUCUAAUGAAGCACCAGGCUCCGAUACCAAUUGAUAGUCGCCUAGAGGGGGGGUGAAUAGGGCGAAACUGAAAUUUUACAAAUAUAAACACAACUACAAGCCGGGUUAGCGUUAGAAAUAAAACCGAGUCCGUGAGAGAGGGUGGAAAACAAAUCACAAGCAAAUGAAGAGUGUGACACGCGGAUUUGUUUUACCGAGGUUCGGUUCUCUCAAACCUACUCCCCGUUGAGGAGGCCACAAAGGCCGGGUCUCUUUCAACCCUUCCCUCUCAAACGGUCCUUCCGACCGAGUGAGCUUCUCUUCUCAAAUCAAAGCCGGGAACAAAACUUCCCCGCAAGGGCCACCACACAAUUGGUGCCUCUUGCCUUGAUUACAAUGGAGUUUUGAUCACAAGAACAAGUGAGAAGGAAAAGAAGCAAUCCAAGCGCAAGAGCUCAAGAGAACACGGCAAAUCUCUCUCACUAGUCACUAAAGCCUUUUGUGGAAUUGGAGAGGAUUUGAUCUCUUUGGUGUGUCUAGAAUUGAAUGCCUAGCUCUUGUAAGUGGUUGAGAAGUGGAAAACUUGGAUGCAAUGAAUGGUGGGGUGGUUGGGGUAUUUAUAGCCCCAACCACCAACUUGACCGUUGGUGGAGGCCGUCUGUUCGAUGGCGCACCGGACAGUCCGGUGCACACCGGACAUGUCCGGUGCCCCCGCCACGUCAUCAGUGCCGUUGGAAAUUGACCGUUGGAGUUCUGACUUCUGGGCCCACCUUGAUGUCCGGUGGCGCACCGGACAUGCACUGUUCACUGUCCGGUGCGCCGGCAUGGGCGACUCUGACUUCUGCGCGCGCUGCGCGCGCAUUAAAUGCCGUCGCAGGUAGCCGUUGGCGCGAAGUAGCCGUUGCUCCGAGGAUGCACUGGACAGUCCGGUGUACACCGGACAUGUCCGGUGAAUUAUAGCGGAGCAGCCUUCGCGAAUUCCCGAGACUGGCGAGUUCCAGAGCCGUGCCUUCUUUGGAGCACCGGACACUAUCCGGUGUACACCGGACAGUCCGGUGAAUUAUAGCGUGUCGGCUCCUGGAAAAACCCGAGGCUGAGGAGUUCAGCGCGAGUCCUCCUGGUGCACCGGACACUGUCCGGUGCGCCACCGGACAGUCCGGUGCGCCAGACCAGGGAGUCUUCCGGGAUGCCUUUAGCUCUCUAUUUGAACCCAACUUUGGUCUUUUUAAUUGGCUUGAUGUGAACCUUUGACACCUGUAUAACUUAUUCACUAGAGCAAACUAGUUAGUCCAAAGAUUUGUGUUGGGCAAUUCAACCACCAAAAUUAUAUAGGAACUAGGUGUAAGCCUAAUUCCCUUUCACAAUCUCAUCCGAACAUGUUUCUAUAACAACAUUCUUAACAAGAACUUGAUUGCAGGGGUUAGAAUCAUCAAUUAAAUCAAAACAAGAAGUAUAAGCAUAUUUCUUAAUAAUUUGAGGCAUUUCAAUCAAAGAUACUCCUAGGGUGCUACAAAUGUUUUUUAACUUAGUAGUUAGCUCAUUGUUAUGCAUGCUAAGAAUUUCCAUUUUCCUAGCAAAUUUUCAAUGGCUUCUUGAGAGCUAUUUAACUUAGCCUUAAGUUUUUCAUUUUUUUAGUAAGGCCAUCAUUGGUAGCUGAGGAUGGAGCUUUAGAUUCUAAUUGCUCAAUUUUAGUUGAUAGCUCAAAAUUUAAAUUUGCAAAUGUUUCAAAAUUUUCAAGCAAACAUUUAUAAUCAUCUUGAGAACUAAUCAACUUAUUUUUCAAUGUUUUAAGUUGAGCCUUUUGUUUAGUACAUACAUCCUCAAAAAAAUUAACGGCUUCUGUAAGCUCAUCUAAGGAGGGCUUUCCCUCACCUUCAUCAUCACUACUACUAUCAUCACUAGAGGAUGGAAUACUCAUUUUACCUCUUGCCAUAAGGCACUUGCGUGAUGACCGUGAUGAGGAUCAGUGGUUGCGUGUCCUUGGAGGUUCAUCUUCGCUUGAAGAGUCAUCCCAAGUUUUAACACUUGUAAGUUGUCCCUGAAGUGGCCCUUCUCCCCGCAUACGAAGCAUCCUCUCUUUCUUUGCUUUUUUCUGUCAAUGUUAAAGAGAACAUCCUCGACCAGCAGAGGCACACCCAUUAGAUUAAUCUUGCGGAUCAUCCCCAUUACCUUUCUGACGUGUCGGAUUGUUCUUCAUCCUCGGAGGUUGAUUAUCUUCUUCAUCAUCACUUUCUUCUUCUUCCUCUUCUUCACUUGAGGAACUUGGAGUGGGAGCCUUCUUCUUUCCUUUGCUCUUUUCAUCACAUGCAAAAGCAUAUGGCCUUGAAGAAGUUGGCUCCUCUUGUCGACCCAUUUUUCACGACAUCUCAAAUGCCGCAAUUUUCACAAUCACAAUGGUCGGGGUCAUUUGACUCAAGUCUCUCCAUGUUGUGAAGAAUGGUGAUGAUGCUCCCAUAUCUUUGUUGUGGUAGUAGGGAGAUAAUCUUCCUCACAAUGUCCGCAUCACCUAGCUUAUUAAUGCUAAUAGAAUUGAGCUCAUUGAUGAUUAGAUUCAAACGAGAAUACAUAUCUCUAACAAGCUCAUUAUCCUUCAUAGCAAAAGAAUUAUACUCAUUUAAGACUAGGCAAUGUUUUUGCUCACAGACAUCUGAUGUGCCGUCAUGGAGCUCAUGCAAUUUUAGCCAAAUCUCAUUAGCAGUUUUAAUGUAAAAACUUGAUUAAAAAUAUCCAUGCUAAGAGAUUCAUACAAGCAAUUUUUGGCUCUAACAAUCAUAUGAAUUUCUUUUUCCUCUGUAGUGGUGGGUUUCUCCGGAUUCUUGGGUAGUUUCAUCCCGUCACGAGUGACUCUCCAAACACCUAGAUCAACAGCCUCUAGGUAACAAGCCAUUCUAGCACUAUAAUAUGAGAAGUUAGCGCCGUCGAAGUGUGGUGGCCUGUGAGUAUCCAUCCCCUUCCUCUAAAAAGCGUCGACUCGAUUAGCGGUGAAGUUAAAAUGUUUCUGACGGUACCCUAGAAUAGGGGUACCCCUUACUACAGUACGAAGGCGCGGUACCCGCGCAGCUAUCCCUAGUCGCAUGGUGAACAGCGCCCGACCCCACCACAUGGACGGCUCCAGGGCCGCCACGUGGCCAGAGAAGACAAUAUCCUCCAAGGUAUCAACAGUGGGUCCGGACCCCCAUGGGAAAGUGCCGGACCCCUGCAUAUACGGACUGGACCUCCGGGCAAGGUCCAGGACCUCCACAGGUGCAAACCGGACCCCUGGGACAGGUCCCAGACCCCUCUGUGUGGGGUCCGGACCACUCACAGUAGGCUCCCGGGAUUCUAGGACAAAGAAUACCCGGACCUUAAUCAAGGCCAGGCGGGGGUCCGGAGCCGACACGUGUCCGGACCAUGCGGUGUGCACUUCUGCUCCCUGCUCAGGCAGAGACCCGAUGCUGCCACGUGGCUUACUGCUCGUGACGUAAUCCAGCGAACAGAGCCUGACGUAAGGCCUCUGGGCCGUGCGGCCGCCGCAUUUAUUGCGGAUAAAGCACGCCGCCUGUCCAUUCCACUAGCAGGUGAUGUGCCGCCUCGGCAUUUAAUGAGCCUUGUCCAUUCCACUGGAAGGUAAUGUGCCACCUCAGCAUUUAAUGAGCCAUGUCCAUUCCACUGGAAGGCGAUGUGCCGCCUCAGCAUUUAAUGUGCCCUGUCCACUCCGCUGGUAGGCGGUGACCAGGCCAUCCCGCAGGCGGCGUGCAUGUCCAUUCCAUUGGCAGGCAGUACGCCCGUGCUGCGGCGUACACUAUGCUCAUCAUCACUCGCGCAUUACCGAGGAAGAAGCACGAGAUAUCAAUACUAUAUGCACUACGGACAUUAUGGCGCUCAGGGAUCGCCUUGGCGUCACAAGCAAUAGUUACUUCCUUCCAUUUUGCCCCUGGGCCCACAUAUCGGGGCUCAGUAUCCUUGUACGUGCCCCCCUUGAGCUAUAAAAGGGAGGGCACACGACGUUACAAGGCAGACCCAACUUAGACGCUCAAGCUCACUCAGAGACAAGCUCUCAAGCUCAAUACAACACACAGUAGAGUAGGGUAUUACGCUCCGGUGGCCCGAACCACUCUAAACCCUUGUGUGUUCUUGUGUUCUUCCUGAUUCCAUCUAACAGGCAAAACGCUUAGGCCCCUCCUCAUCUUAGGAUUUAGGGCGGGUGCGUUUCGCCACCCGGCCGGAGAAUUUCCUCUCUGACAUUUGGCGCGCCAGGUAGGGGCUAGGCUUUAGGUUUUUGCUUGUUUUUCUGCUCGACACCAUGGUCCACAUCGUCGAGCACCAUGAUUUCAUGCCCGAGGACUUCAUGGUGGAAGAGGCGGCUUCCUCUUCCACACCGCGGGCCACCAACCUCCCUACGCUCGGUGCUGCUGCUAUGCACUCUGCACGGCAGCACACUCCUGCGCAGGUGUCCAGAGCGUCUAGGGCUGCGCCUGGGGCGCUGUCUGCGGCCAGAGAAUUGCUGCGCCACCCUCCUAGCUCCACGGCCUCCCUGGGGCCAUGAAGCAGUGGCGCGACGACGUUGACCGACUGCUCGGUAUGGCGCACUCUGGCUCAACCAGGCCCAGGCCUCGGUCGUCCCGACGCCAACAUGAGGCGUCGGCGUUAGUGCGCUCACCCUCGGUGAGGGCCGCACCGACCGAAGACCUGCGGGUGGAGCUCAACCGCCGGCGUUCGGGAGAGGACGCUGCAGUCUCUCUGGAGAGGUCUAAUGACCUGUAGGCAGAACUCAACCGCAGGCAUGCGGGCGAGGAUGCCCGCAUCUCUCUAGAGAGGGCGCGUGAGCGUCGACAAAAUGUUGAGGGUUGCAACCUCGACUACGACUUCACUGCGGUUGCGCCGCAAACCCCAACGGGCGCCCGUAUACAGGCGGGUGACCUAUUGGCCGGCGUGGGCUGCGCCGCUCUGGCGGAUCAUCUCCGUGCGGUGAUGUGGCCAUCCAAGUUCUGGCCGCACCUGCCAGAAAAGUACGACGGUAUGUCAAACCCGUCGGAAUUCUUGCAGGUGUACGUCACCGUCAUUACGGCAGCAGGUGGAGACACCACUGUAAUGGCGAUGUACUUCCAUGUAGCCUUAUCUGGGCCGGCCCGGACUUGGCUCAUGAACCUCACCCCAGGAUCGAUCUACUCCUGGGAAGAGCUCUGCGCGAGGUUCACAGCGAACUUCGCCAGCGCUUAUCAGCAGCAUGGCGUGGAGGCCCACCUCCACGCAGUGAGGCAGGAGCCCGGGGAACUCUCCAGACGUUUAUCUCCCGCUUCACCAAGGUACGAGGCACUAUACCUCAUAUUUCUGAUGCUUCCAGCAUCAUUGCUUUCCACCAGGGAGUACGUGAUGAAAAGAUGUUGGAGAAGUUAGCCAGGGCCAGGGCCGCCGAGGGCCGUGCGUGGCACUCGGCACCACAGACCGGAGUCGCCCAAACGGGUGGCUCGGGUGCCGUCUUUCACGACGGCAAAAAGAAGAAAAAGAAGAACCACGGCCUCGAGAGGCCGCCGUUUGCUGCUCCGGUCGUCGCAGCCGCGACUGGGUGCUGGGGCGAUCGCAACAAACGCCCACGACCGUAGUGGGGUAACAGCGGCUCAUGCCCUGUACACCCCAAUAGUCGCCACCGUGUCGUGGAGUGUCACGAGAUCAUCGAGCUCGUGAAGCGUGUCAGCGAGCGGCGCGAGCAGACUUCCAGGGAUGGCUCCCUACCUAGUCGCCGGCCUGGCAAGGAAAGGGUCAACGACGGCGAGGUGGCCGCAGGAGAGCGAGACCUCGGGUAUCAGUCACCCGAGGGGGUCCUAAAGGAUGUUUUCACCAAAGACUCCAACUCCGGUGCCGACAGCUAGCUGAGCUGCCGAGGAGACCCUAUUCACCCUGGUCUACGGGGCCGAAGCCUGCCUUCCCCCGGAAAUCCUUAUGGGCUCCCCACGGGUUCGGUCGUUUCAUGAGUCUAUGCAGGAACAACUACGGCGUGAGGACAUGGAUUUCAUCGACGAGCGUAGAUGGCAAGCGGCGAUCCGAAAUGCACGGUACAACCAAGCGCUCAGGCGCUACCACCAUCGGUUCGUGAAUAGUAGGGAGCUCGGGGUCGGGGGACCUGGUCCUAAGGCGAAUUCUAAACCAAGAAGGGCUCCACAAACUCACCUCCAGUUGGGAAGGACCCUUCAAGGUGACGGAAGGAUGCCGACCCGGGUGUGUCCGCCUCGCCACAACUGAAGGAAUGCCUCUUCCAACCCCUGGAACAUAGAGCAUCUCCGUAAGUUCUACCCAUAGGAGCAAGCCUGAGGGGUUAAGUUUUCCUCUUUUUUGUAACUAGGUUGUGCAUAUGUGUUCGCCAGCCCGGUGAGGUCCACCCUCAUAAGCCCGGCCUGUUGGUCUGCACCCAUGCAUGUCAUGUUAUAAAGGAAGGAUUUACCCCCUCAGAUGUGCUCCUAUGAGGGUUUUAUUCUGCUACAGAUUCCAGGUAUUAUUUUUUUAUCUAACCCACCCAUACGGUUUCCCAUCCUUGCUAGUAUGAUGACAUCCGAAUUGAGUAGCCAAGCUUGCAGUUUAGGACCCCUCUACGAAAGCAGGGGGUCUGACAGCCUGGGGGCCGGUUCUAGAGAAUGGGUGCUCGUUCCCUGGGGUGGUUCGGAGCUGUGUAGCCGCUUAGCUUGGUUCCGUACCCUAACCUGCACGCUCCACCACUCUGCGACAGGUAUCCUACUAUUUGGAACUAUAGCCCUGUGGGUCCGGGAACCUGGGGUCCGGUUCUAGAGAAUGGACGCACGUCUCCUGGGGUGGUCCGGAGCCGUGUAGCCGUUUAGCCUGGUUCCGUACCCUAAGCCUACACGCUCCACCACUCUGCGAUGGGUGUCCUAGUAUCUAGAGCUGUGAUUCAGGGGGACCGGGCACACGGCUUGGCUUCCCAGGCUAAAUCCUGUAGGUCCUGUUGCAUGAAUCAAAGGAUGGCUGAUACCAGACGAUGGGCCCCAUGGGUGUGCCGCUAACACUCCCUAGCCGAGGCUGUAUGUAGGUCCAGGUUCUAGUUGAGGCUACCCCCUAGGGACCGGGUCACCAACUCUUUCCUAUGUAUGCUGGUAUCCAGCCUCGACACGUCGAGCCUACAUCCCAGAGGGGCCAAGUACCAGGAGAGGAGUUGGUAAUGCCACACACAGCAAGAGCAAAUACCAUACAAAUAAGAGUUGUUUUAAUUAAUAGUUCCCAAAAGUAUCUAACAAAAACAAAAGUUAUUACAUCCGCCUUCGAGCGGAGCCCUAGCCUCAUUUCUACAGGUAUGAGCUACUCAACAUCAGCAGGGUCGCGCUGAAAGCGCGCGGCCGUCGUCUCCGUGGUGUAUUGUACGACCUCCCAGGCGGCGUCUUCAGUGUCGACAGCCGGACCAGCGAUCACUACCACCACCCGGGCACAUCUCCCUCAGCGCCGUCGUAGCGCAGCUGCCGCCGCAAUCGCCGAGCGCAGGCCUGUCGCUCACCCUGAACACGGUGGCGGCCACUGGGAACAGCGACAUUGGCGGCAACUCAGUGCUUUAGCUUGCCAACCGCGGCGGUCUCCUCGAUGUGUGUGUCAUGGCGAAGGAGCCCCCAUCAUUGGAGGCGACGUCGAACCCAUUAAAGCCAAAGAGGUGGAGGCGCGGCAACACAUGACGCCCGGCGGCCUGGCCGCUGAGAUGGAGCCGGAGCUCGACCUGUUCAUGGAGGCAUACCACGAGGCCGCCACAGGAGGCAAUGAAGUUCAUGCGAAAGAUGGAGCCGCAGCUCAACUCUCUUUCCAUCUCCGGAAGGUCGCUGCGCAACACCCUUUCAUCCGGGCGCUGGCGGAAGAAGUGUCACCCCCACUCCAUCCUCAUGCUGGAGUUGGAGGUCGAGCUCCUCCAGCAGCAGCAGGAAGAAGGGCGAGAUCGGCAGCGCCAACCCGCAGGAGAGGUAGGAAACGAAGAGCACGAACUCCCCAGUGGCGAGAUCGCCGGGGGGAGAAGCGCCGACAUAGAUCCUUCCGACGAACGUUGGCGCACCCCAUCCGAGCAGGUUGCGCACCAAGUUGAGUGCCACCUCGGACUGGAAGCGCUCGGGAUGGACUAGCAAGGCCAUGGCGACUACGGCGGUGGAAGGCAGAGGAGCGCAAAAGCAAAGGGGCGCAGAGAGCUCGAAGGUGAAAGGGCACAACAGUUGGGAGAAAAUGCGAAAGCGUAACUGCAACACGCGAAGUGAAUCCCUUUUCAAGGAAGACUCCCUUGCUCGCACCCCAAGACGCCACAGAGAAUCUCGCCCGACGCGCACCAAUGUGAUUGAGCCUAUGACACGGAGGCUCGGGCCCACAAGUCAUACAGCUGGUGUGCGGGUCUCCGAGUGCAAAGAAGGCGAACCGCCAUGCGAGGAGUGAACCGCGGCCCGCGGUAGUGCGCCUCUCCAUCUCCGCCGAAAACAGCGACCCAGUCUCUGGCACGGGGGCCCGGGCCCACAAGUCAUACGGCUGGUGUGCGGGUCUUCGUGUGCGAAGAAGGCGAACCGCCACGUGAGGAGCGAACCGCCGCCCGCGGUAGUGCGCCUCUCCAUCUCCGCCGAAAACAACGGCCCAGUCUCUGGCACGGGGGCCCAGGCCCACGAGUCAUACUCCCUGGGCGUCGGUUUCUGAGUGCAGAAAGAGCGAACCACCGCUCGCGCUAGUACUGCGCCUCCUCGGGGCCGCCGUAGAGGACAUACGUGGCAGUAGGCGUGACCAAAGGCAGACUGGCAGUGGUUACGUCAGCAAGCGCAUGGAAGCGAUGCGCCAAUCGCCAAUCAAGCUUUGGCCCCACCUACAGGCUCGUAUCCUCCCCUGAGGUGGGCCCGGGAGCCACUGUCGGUACCCUGGAACAGGGGUACCCCUUACUACAAUACGAAGGCGCGGUACCCGCGUGGCUAUCCCUAGUCGCAUGGUGAACAGCGCCCAACCCCACCACAUGGACGGCUCCAGGGCCGCCACGUGGCCAAAGAAGACAAUAUCCUCCAAGGUAUCAACAGUGGGUCCGGACCCCCAUGGGAAAGUGCCGGACCCCUGCAUAUACGGACCAGACCUCCGGGCAAGGUCCAGGACCUCCACAGGUGCAAACCGGACCCCUGGGACGGGUCCCAGACCCCUCUGUGUGGGGGUACGGACCACUCAUAGCAGGGUCCCGGGAUUCUGGGACAAAGAAUACCCGGACCUUAAUCAAUGCCAGGCAGGGGUCCAGAGCCGAGACGGGUCCGGACCAUGCCGUGUGCACUUCUGCUCCCUGCUCAGGCAAAGACCCGAUGCUGCCACGUGGCCUACUGCCCGUGACGUAAGCCAGCGGGCGGAGCCUGACGUAAGGCCUCUGGGCCGCGUGGCCGCAGCAUUUAUUGCGGAUAAAGCGCACCCCCUGUCCAUUCCAUUGGCAAGUGAUGUGCCGCCUCGGCAUUUAAUGAGCCCUGUCCAUUCCACUGGAAGGAGAUGUGCCGCCUCAGCAUUUAAUGUGCCCUGUCCACUCCGCUGGUGGGCGGCGACCAGGUCAUCCCGCAGGCGGCAUGCCUGUCCAUUCCGUUGGCAGGCAGUACGCCCGUGCUGCGGCGUACACUAUGCUCAUCAUCACUGAAAGUCGCCUAGAGGGGGGUGAAUAGGACGAAUCUGAAAUUUACAAACUUUAAGCACAACUACAAGUCAGGGUUAGCGUUAUAAAUAUAAACGAGUCCGAAAGAGAGGGCGAAAACAAAUCACAAGCAAAUAAGGCGGAUGACACGGUGAUUUGUUUUACCGAGGUUCGGUUUUUGCAAACCUACUCCCCAUUGAGGUGGUCACAAAGACCGGGUCUCUUUCAACCCUUUCCCUCUCUCAAACAGUCACUUAGACCAAGUGAGCUUCUCUUCUCAAUCAAACGGGACACUAAGUCCCCACAAGGACCACCACACAAUUGGUGUCUCUUGCCUUGGUUACAAUUAAGUUGGAAUCAAGAAAGAAUGAAGAAGAAAAGCAAUACAAGCGCAAGAGCUCAAAUGAACACAAGAAUCUCUCUCUCACUAGUCACUAUUUGAUUGGAAUUGUCUUUGGACUUGGGAGAGGAUUUGAUCUCUCUGGUUGUGUCUUGUAUUGAAUGCUAUAGCUCUUAUAUGAGGUGUGAAGGCUGAAAACUUGGAUGCAAUGAAUGGUGGGUGGUUGGGAGUGUUUAUAGCCCCAACCACCAAAUGAGCCGUUGGUGGAGGCUGCUGUCACAUGGCGCACCGGACAGUCCGGUGCGCCACCGGACACUAUCCGGUGCGCCAGCCACGUCACCCGACCGUUAGAGUUCGACCGUUGGAGCUUCUGUCUUCUGGGCAACCGGACUGUCCGGUGCGCCUUCUGGCUCUGCUCUGACUUCUGCGCGCACUGUAGCGCAUUAACUGCUCUCUGCAGACGACCGUUGGCGCAAAGUAGUCGUUGCUUCGCUAGCACACUGGACAGUCCGGUGCUACACCGGACAGUCCGGUGAAUUAUAGCGGAGCGGCUCCCAGAAUUCUCGAAGGUGAGCAGUUCAGAGAUUGGUUCCCUGGUGCACCGGACACUGUCCGGUGAACACCGGACAGUCCGGUGCGCCAGACUAGGGCACACUUCGGUUGUCUUAUGCUCUUUUUAUUUGAACCCUUUCUUGGUCUUUUUAUUGGUUUGUUGUGAACCUUUGGCACCUGUAGAACUCAUAAUCUAGAGCAAACUAGUUAGUCCAAUUAUUUGUGUUGGGCAACUCAACCACCAAAAUCAAUUAGGAAAAGGUGUAAGCCUAUUUCCCUUUCAAUCUCCCCCUUUUUGGUGAUUGAUGCCAACACAAACCAAAGCAAAUAUAAAAGUGCAAAAUUGAACUAGUUUACAUAAGGUAAGUGCAAAGAUUGCUUGGAAUGAAACCAAUAAUUAUUUCUACUAGAUAUGCAUGGAUGGCUUUCUUGCAAUUUAAGAUUUUGGACCACGCUUGCACCACUUGUUUUGUUUUUGCAAACUCUUUUGUAAAUUCUUUUCAAAGUCCUUUUGCAAAUAGUCAAAGGUAAAUGAAUAAGAUUUUGAGAAGCAUUUACAAGAUUUGAAAUUGUCUCCCCCUGUUUCAAAUGCUUUUCCUUUGACUAAACAAAACUCCCCCUUAAUGAAAUCCUCCUCUUAGUGUUCAAGAGGGUUUUAGAUAUUAAUUUUGAAGAUGUUAUACCAAUUUGAAAUUAUAUCAGUAAGUAAGAUACCAAUUGAAAAACAUACCAAAAUCUUUUCUUAAACCAUAUUUUGAAAGACUACAUUUUUGAAAUUGGUGGUGGUGCGGUCCUUUUGCUUUGGGCUAAUACUUUCUCCCCCUUUGGCAUGAAUCGCCAAAAACGGAUACUUGUGAGUGAAAUAUAGGCCCUUAUUAACUACUUUCUCCCCUCAUGGUAAAUAAUAUAUGAGUGAAGAUUAUACCAAAUUGGAGAGCGUUGCGGAGUGACGGCGAAGGAUGAAUGAUUUGAUGGAGUGGAGUGGAAGCCUUGUCUUCGCCGAAGACUCCAUUUCCCCUUUCAAUCUAUGACUUAGCAUAACAUGCACUUGAGGAACACAUUAGUCAUAGCACAUGAAAGAGAUGAUCAAAGGUAUAUAUAUGAGCUAUGUGUGCAAAAUGUCAAUCAAAAUUCCUAGAAUCAAGAAUAUUUAGCUCAUGCCUAAGUUUGGUAAAAGUUUGCUCAUCUAAUGGCUUGGUAAAGAUAUCGGCUAAUUGUUCUUUGGUGUUAACAUAUGCAAUCUCGAUAUCCCCCUUUUGUUGGUGAUCCCUUAAAAAAUGAUACCGAAUGGCUAUGUGUUUAGUGCGGCUAUGCUCAACGGGAUUAUCCGCCAUGCAGAUUGCACUCUCAAUAUCACAUAGAAGAGGAACUUUGGUUAAUUUGUAACCAUAGUCCCUGAGGGUUUGUCUCAUCCAAAGCAAUUGCGCGCAACAAUGGCCUGCGGCAAUAUACUCGGCUUCGGCGGUAGAAAGAGCUACAGAAUUUUGCUUCUUUGAAGCCCAAGACACGAGGGAUCUUCCCAAGAACUGGCAAGUCCCUGAUGUGCUCUUUCUAUUAAUUUUACACCCUACCCAAUCAACAUCGGAAUAACCAAUUAAAUCAAAUGUGGAUCCCCUGGGGUACCAAAGACCAAACUUAGGAGUAUAAACUAAAUAUCUCAAGAUUCGUUUUACGGCCCUAAGGUGAACUUCCUUAGGAUCAGCUUGGAAUCUUGCACACAUGCAUACGGAGAGCAUAAUAUCCGGUCGAGAAGCACAUAAAUAGAGUAAAGAACCUAUCAUCGAUCGGUAUACCUUUUGAUCUAAGGAUUUACCUCCCGUGUCGAGGUCGAGAUGCCCAUUAGUUCCCAUGGGUGUCUUGAUGGGCUUGGCAUCCUUCAUCCCAAACUUUGUGAGUAUGUCUUGAAUGUACUUUGUUUGGCUAAUGAUGGUGCCAUCUUGGAGUUGCUUCACUUGAAAUCCUAAGAAAUACUUCAACUCCCCCAUCAUAGACAUCUCGAAUUUUUGUGUCAUGAUCCUACUAAACUCUUCACAUGUAGAUUCGUUAGUAGACCCAAAUAUGAUAUCAUCAACAUAAAUUUGGCAUACAAACAAAUCAUUUGUAAGUGUUUUAGUAAAGAGAGUAGGAUCGGCUUUUCUGACUUUGAAGCCAUUAGCGAUAAGAAAAUCUCUUAGGCAUUCAUACCAUGCUCUUGGGGCUUGCUUGAGCCCAUAAAGCGCCUUAGAGAGUUUAUAUACAUGGUUAGGGUACUCACUAUCUUCAAAGACCGGAGGUUGCUCAACAUAGACCUCUUCCUUGAUUGGUCCAUUGAGGAAGGCACUUUUCACGUCCAUUUGAUAAAGCUUAAAGCCAUGGUAAGUAGCAUAGGCAAGUAAUAUACGAAUUGAUUCAAGCCUAGCUACGGGUGCAUAGGUUUCACCGAAAUCCAAACCUUCGACUUGUGAAUAUCACUUGGCCACAAGUCGGGCUUUGUUCCUUGUCACCACACCAUGCUCAUCUUGCUUGUUGCGGAAGACCCACUUGGUUCCUACAACAUUUUGGUUAGGACGUGGAACUAAAUGCCAUACCUCAUUCCUCGUGAAGUUGUUGAGCUCCUCUUGCAUCGCCAGCACCCAAUCCGAAUCUUGAAGUGCUUCCUCUAUCCUGUGUGGCUCAAUAGAGGAAACAAAGGAGUAAUGUUCACAAAAAUGAGCAACACGAGAUCGAGUGGUUACCCCCUUAUGAAUGUCGCCGAGGAUGGUGUUCACGGGGUGAUCUCGUUGUAUUGCUUGGUGGAAUCUUGGGUGUGGCGGUCUUGGACCCUCAUCAUCUUCCUUGUCUUGAUCAUUAGCAUCUCCCCCUUGAUCAUUGUCCUCCUCUUGAGGUGGCUCCUCUUGAUCUUCAUCAUCAUUAUCUUGAUCUUGAUCCUUAUCUUGAGUUGGUGGGGAUGCUUGUAUUGAGGAAGAUGGUUGAUCUUGUGCUUGUGGAGGCUCUUCGGAUUCUUUAGGACACACAUCCCCAAUGGACAUGUUCCUUAGCGCGACGCAUGGAGCCUCUUCAUCAUCUAGCUCAUCAAGAUCAACUUGCUCUACUUGAGAGUCGUUAGUCUCAUCAAACACAAUGUCACAAGAAACUUCAACUAGUCUAGAGGACUUGUUAAAGACUAUAUAUGCCCUUGUGUUUGAAUCAUAACCAAGUAAAAAACCUUCUACAGCCUUAGGCGCAAAUUUAGAUUUUCUACCUCUUUUAACAAGAAUAAAACAUUUGCUACCAAAGACUCUAAAAUAUGAAACAUUGGGCUUUUUACCGGUUAGAAGUUCAUAUGAUGUCUUCUUGAGGAUUCGGUGUAGAUAUAACCGGUUGAUGGCGUAGCAAGCGGUAUUGACCGCCUCGGCCCAAAAUCGAUCCGAAGUCUUGUACUCAUCAAGCAUGGUCCUCACCAUGUCCAAUAGAGUUCUAUUCUUCCUCUCCACAACACCAUUUUGUUGUGGCGUGUAGGGAUAAGAGAACUCAUGCUUGAUGCCCUCCUCCUCAAGAAAGCUUUCGAUUUGUGAGUUCUUGAACUCCGUCCCGUUGUCGCUUCUGAUCUUUUUUAUCCUUAAGCCAAACUCAUUUUGAACCCGUCUCAAGAAUCCCUUUAAUGUUUCUUGGGUUUGUGAUUUUUCCUGCAAAAAGAACACCCAAGUGAAGCGAGAAUAAUCAUCCACAAUUACAAGACAAUACUUACUCCCGCCGAUGCUUAUGUAAGCAAUCGGGCCGAAUAGGUCCAUGUGGAGUAGCUCGAGCGGCCUGUCGGUCGUCAUGAUGUUCUUGUGUGGAUGAUGAACACCAACUUGCUUCCCUGCUUGACAUGCGCUACAAACCCUGUCUUUCUCAAAAUGAACAUUGGUUAGUCCCAAAAUGUGCUCUCCCUUUAGAAGCUUAUGAAGAUUCUUCAUCCCAACAUGAGCUAGUCGGCGGUGCCAGAGCCAACCCAUGUUAGUCUUAGCAAUUAAGCAAGUUUCGAGUUCAGCUCUAUCAAAAUCUACUAAGUAUAGCUGACCCUCUAACACUCCCUUAAAUGCUACUGAAUCAUCACUUCUUCUAAAGACAGUAACACCCAAAUAUGUAAAAAGACAGUUGUAGCCCAUUUUACAUAAUUGAGAAACGGAAAGCAAAUUGUAAUCUAAAGAAUCUACAAGAAAACAUUGGAAAUAGAAUGGUCAGAUGAUAUAGCAAUUUUACCCAAUCCUUUGACCAAGCCUUGAUUUCCAUCCCUGAAUGUGAUAGCUCGUUGGGGAUCUUGGUUUUUCUCAUAGGAGGAGAACAUCUUCUUCUCCCCUGUCAUGUGGUUUGUGCACACGCUAUCGAUGAUCCAACUUGAGCCCCCGGAUGCAUAAACCUACAAAACAAUUUUAGGCCUUGUUCUUAGGUACCCAAAUGGUCUUGGGUCCUUUCACAUUAGAAACAAGCACCUUGGGUACCCAAACACAAGUCUUUGACCCCUUGUGUUUGCCCCCAACAUAUUUGGCAACUAUUUUGCCUGAUUUGUUAGUUAGCACAUAAGAAGCAUCAAAAGUCUUAAAUGAAAUGUUAGGUUCAUUUGAUGCAAUAGGAGUUCUCUUCUUAGGCAAUUUAGCACGGGUUGAUUGCCUAGAACUAGAUGCCUCACUCUUAUACAUAAAAGCAUGAUUGGAGCCAGAGUGAGACUUCCUAGAGUGAAUUCUCAUAAUUUUGUGCUCGGGGUAACCGGCAGGGUAUAAAAUGUAACCCUCGUUAUCCUGAGGCAUGGGAGCUUUGCCCUUAACAAAGUUUGACAAUCUUUUAGGAGGGGCAUUAAGUUUGACAUUGCCUCCCUGUUGGAAGCCAAUGCCAUCCUUAAUGCCAGGGCGUCUCCCACUAUAGAGCAUACUACGAGCAAAUUUAAUUUUUUUUAUUUUCUAACUCAUGCUCGGCAAUUUUAGCAUCUAAUUUUGCUAUAUGAUCAUUUUGUUGUUUAAUCAUAGCAAUGUGAUCAUGAAUAGCAUCAAUGUUAACAUCUCUACAUCUAGUGCAAAUAGUAACAUGCUCAACAGUAGAUGUAGAGGGUUUACAAGAAUUUAGUUCAACAAUCUUAGCAUGUAAAAUGUCAUUCUCAUCUCUAAGAUUGGAAAUAGAAAUAUUACAAACAUCUAAUUCCUUAGCCUUAGCAAUUAAUUUUUCAUUCUCAUUUCUAAGGCUAGCAAGAGAGGCAUUCAAUUUUUCAAUCUUAGCAAUUGAACUAGCAUUAUCAUUUCUAAGAUUGUCAAUUGAAUCAUCACAAACAUUUGAUUUCUCAACCUUAGCAAUUAAUUUGGCAUUUUCAUUUCUAAGGUUGGAAAUAAUAUCAUGGCAAGUGCUUAGCUCAUUAGAUAAUUUUUCACAUUUUUCUACCUCUAGAGCAUAAGCAUUUUUAACCUUAACAUGUUUUUUGUUUUCUUUAAUUAGGAAGUCCUCUUGGCUAUCUAAGAGUUCAUCCUUAUCAUGAAUAGCACUAAUUAAUUCAUUUAAUUUCUCCUUUUGUUGCAUGUUUAGGUUGGCAAAAAGCGUCAAUAAAUCAUCCUCAUCAUCACUAGAGCUAGCCUCAUCACUAGAUGUUGCAUACUUAGUGGAGGAUCUAGAUUUUACCUUCUUCUUCUUGUCGUCCUUUGCCAUGAGGCAUUUGUGGCCGACGUUGGGGAAGAAAAGUCCCUUGUUGACAGCGAUGUUGGCGGCGUCCUCGUCGGAGGAGUCGGUGGAGCUCUCGUCGGAGUCCCACUCCCGGCAAACAUGGGCAUCGUCGCCCUUCUUCUUGUAAUAUCUCUUCUUCUUUUUUCUUCUCCCCUUCUUGUCGUCGCCCCUGUCACUAUCACUUGAUAAUAGACAUUUAGCAAUGAAAUGACCGGGCUUACCACACUUGUAGCAAACUUUCUUGGAGCGGGGCUUGUAGUCCUUCCCCUCCUUUGCUUGAGGAUUUAGCGAAAGCUCUUGAUGAUGAGCGCCAUCUCCUCAUUGUCGAGCUUUGAGGCGUCGAUGGGGACCCUACUAGGUGUAGAGUCUUCUUUCUUCUCCUCCGUUGCCUUGAAUGCAACGAGUUGUACAUCGGGUGUGGAGGAGGCGCCUUGCUCAAUGAUUUUCUUGGAGCCUUUGAUCAUCGGGAGACAUUAGCUUAUAUCUAGGAUCACCACGAAUUAAUUGAACUUGAGUUGGAUUAAGAAAUACGAGUGAUCUAAGAAUAACUUUGACCAUUUCAUGGUCAUCCCACUUGGUACUCCCAAGGUUGCGCACUUGGUUCACCAAAGUCUUGAGCCGGUUGUACAUUGCUUGUGGCUCUUCCCCUUGGUGAAGCAUGAAGCGACCGAGCUCCCCCUCGAUUGUUUCCCUCUUGGUGAUCUUGGUCACCUCGUCUCCUUCGUGCGCGGUCUUGAGCACGUCCCAAAUCUCUUUGGUACUCUUCAACCCUUGCACCUUAUUAUACUCCUCUUGACUUAGAGAGGCGAGGAAUAUAGUAGUGGCUUGAGAGUUGAAGUGUUGGAUUUGUUCGACCUCCUUCGAAUCAUAAUCCUUAUCCCCUUCUUUUGGUACCUGCGCUCCAUACUCAACAAUAUCCCAUAUGCUUUUGUGGAGUGAGGUUAGGUGAUGCCUCAUUUUAUCACUCCACAUAGAAUAAUCUUCACCAUCGAACAUAGGUGGUUUGCCUAAUGGGACGGAAAGUAAUGGAGUGCGUUUUGAAAUAUGAGAAUAGCAAAGGGGCAUCUUACUAUACUUCUUGCGCUCAUGGCACUUAGAAGUGGCGGAUGUCGAUUCCGAGCCGGAGGUGGAGGGUGACGAAGAGUCAGUCUCGUAGUAGACCACCUUCUUCAUCUUCUUCUUCUU